rnacentral:lncRNA from 1 species
UCCUCCUAGCUUCACCCUAACACAUAUACUGAUACAACCUGAGAUUAAUCUGCAAAGACCAUCUGUUACGAUCGUGCCCCUGUAAAUUCAGGCCGAAGCUUAGAUAUUGAUGAAUUUCCAAGCCGGCUCAGGCUCUAACCCUAUUAAUAACCCAAAUAAUACAUUUGUUCCUGAUUUGGAUGAAGUUGCAGAAGAAAAAAAAGGUAAGGAUGGAAUCACAAAAGCAAUUAGAGGAACGGUGUAAAUGGUUAGAGAAAAAUUUUCGGGUAAUGGAAAGCGCAGAUAACCAUCACAGAAUUGACGCUAAGGACCUAAGUUUGGUUCCAGACUUGGUCCUUCCUUCUAAGUUCAAAAUAUCUGAAUUUGAGAAGUAUAAUGGAGCGAGCUAGCCUGAGGCUCAUAUCACUAUGUUUUGCAGACGAAUGACAGGAUACGUCAGCAAUGGCCAGCUAUUAAUUCACUGCUUUCAAGAUAGUCUGGUUGGGGCGACAUCUAAAUGGUAUAACCAAUUGAGCCGUGCUAAGAUUAACUCAUGGAAAGACCUAGCUUAAGCCUUUAUGAAACAAUAUAGCCAUGUGACAGACAUGACUCCCGACAGGAUCACUCUCCAGAAUAUGGAGAAGAAAUCAACUAAAAUUUUCAGACAGUAUGCGCAAAGAUGGAGAGAUGUUGCCAUACAAGUUUAGCCGCCGCUUCUAGAAAAAGAAACUACGAUUCUCUUUAUCAACACUUUGAAGGCUCUUUUAUCACUCAUAUGUUGAGGAGUGCCACCAAAGCUUCUCAGACAUAAUGAUAACAGGUGAAAUGAUUGAAAAUGCUGUAAGUAACAGAAAAAUCGAAGUAGGAGAAAGUACUAAAAGAUCGGCCUCGAGGAAAAGAGAUAACGAAGUGAACAACAUGAACACAUUUAGCAAGGGUCAGUCCAAGUCACUCACUGUAAACCAACCAAAGAUGGUGACCGCCAAUCAACAUAGCGCUAUGAGACAAUAAUCCAACGCGAGGGAGAAUACAGAAAGGCCACAGUUCACCCCUAUACCCAUGACGUAUAGGGAGCUAUACCAGAAUCUAUUCAACGCUCAUGUAGUGUCCCCUUUUUACCUGAAGCCACUGCAACCCCCGUUUCCCAAAUGGUAUGACACAAACGCCCAAUGCGAAUACCAUGCGGGAAUUACCAGGCACUUAAUCGAAAAUUGCACCGCAUUCAAGAAGCUAGUUGAAAGGCUCAUUAAAAUGGGGAUUGUAAGGUUUGAUGACCUAGCCAUACCCAAUGUAGAAGGAAACCUGCUCUCUAAUCAUACCGACCAAGGAGUAAACGGGAUAAGCGAGGGUGGAAACAAAAAGAUCAAGUAUGAGGUUGCAGAAGUCAGGACCCCAUUGAGACGGAUGUGGAAAGAGAUGGUUAAGAGAUGAUUAAUCGUGUUGAAUUUGAGAGAAGAAUCUGAAGAAAAGAGGAACUACUGUGAGUUCCACAACGAGGUGGGGCAUGAAAUUAAAGAGUGUGUGGAGUUCAGGGCCCUCGUGCAGGACAUGAUAAACAAUAGAGAAAUAGAGUUUUAUGAAGAAAUUGAAAACCCCGAAGAGGGAGAUAUAUGCUCAUCAGAGGGAGAAUCAACGACACAGAACCAAACAGUUAAUUACCCCGUGGUCAUCAUAUCACGACCCAAAAGUAAUGAAGCAGUAGUGCAAAUGCCACCGAAAGUCAUAAUCCAAAUACCUGCAGUCUUCCCCUAUAAAGAUAGUAAGAGGGUCCCAUGAAAUUACGACUGUAAUGUGACGAUCUCAAGAAAAGAGAACCUGGUUGACGAUUCAAAAGAGGACCAAGAUAGGGGCUCCUACACACGUAGCGAGAGACGCUACGAUUCAGCAAGCGAGAAGGCAGAACCCUCAAAAGAAAAAGCCAUAGUGGUCGAACAAAAGAAGGAAAAAACGGCCAAAUCUGAACUUCUUGUUAAUAAGCUUGUCAACGAAGAUGGGGCUAAUGAGUUUCUAAAGUUUCUAAAGCAUAGCGAAUACAGUGUUGUGGAACAACUGCAUAAACAACCAGCUCGUAUCUCGAUGCUGGCCUUGCUUCUAAGUUCGGAAGUCUAUCGCAGCGCGCUGAUGAAAGUUUUGAAUGAAACAUAUGGUUCCAAUGAUAUCUCCGUCAACAAGCUAGACCGCUUGGUUAGCAACAUAAGUGCCGAUAACUUUAUUUUCUGCAAUGACGAUGAGAUACCACCCGGUGGCAGGGGGUCGACUAAAGCUUUACAUAUCACCACACGUUGUAAGAGAUAUACGUUACCAGGAGUACUGAUUGACAACGGGUCGGCCUUAAAUGUCCUACCAUUAUCCACACUAAGCAGAUUACCUGUAGACACUCUCACAUGAAAGAGUGCCAGAAUAUAGUGAAGGCAUUCGAUGGUACGGAGAAAAGGGUGAUGGGCAAAAUUGAGAUACCUCUUCUGAUCGGACCAAACACAUAUGAGGAGGAUUUCCUGGUGAUGGAUAUCAAGCCUUCAUACAACUACUUAUUGGGGAGGCCCUGGAUACAUUCAGCCGGGGCAGUGCCUUCAUCGUUGCAUCAAAAGUUGAAGUUAGUAUCAGAGGGGCGAUUGGUAACAAUAAAUGUUGAAGAGGAUAUCAUUGUAGCUGUAAGCAGUGAUGCACCCUAUUUGGAGACAGAUGAUGAAGUAAUCGAAUGCUUGUUUCCGUCUUUGGAAUUUGUUAAUGCAACAUUCAUUACUGAGUGGAGCAGGAUUCUGAUACCGAAAUUAUCCAAAACUACAAUGAUGAGUCUACAGUUGAUGGUUGGAAAAUGAGCUCUACUAGAAAGAAGACUCGGAAGACAUCUCCAAGAAAGGGUUGAAACGCCAGACUUGAAAGACAAGAGAGACCGCUUCGGCUUAGGAUUUAGGCCAGAUAUGAGACAAAGGAGAAAGGAACUGGAAAAGAAACACGAAAGAAGGAGAGCAAGGCUGAAGGGGGAGAAAAUCAAAUAGGAGCCAAUGAUAUUCCCCCAUAUAUUGAAAACUUUUAUGUCCGGAGGAAUCACUCAUCCCGAGCGGGGCACGCCAAGAAAGGAAGCCAUAGAAGAAAAGUUGGAAGACUUAGACAUCAAUGCCACAUAUGAAGAAGGGGUAGGAGGAAGAAAUUUGUCGGGCAUUGGCCCCUACAUACCUUGAAGUGUUCUGGAUAACUGGACUGCGGAAGAGAUUCCUGUAGUCUUUAGAGCUGGCUCAGAGUAAUGUCCAAAACACACUUAUUGCUCUAGGCCUAGGAGUAAUAAGAAUCUUUUGUGAAAUAGGCCUAUGUUCAAGAACGUUAUUUCAAUAAAAUGCACAGUUAUUAUCAUUUUGAGCAGAUAUUCUUUCAUUCUUUCCAUUUCAUUUAUAAUCAUACUAUACAAAUGAUUACUUUUGGAUUCUUUUGUCCUUCGAACAUUCUUCUAAAUAUUUUUUCGUUCUUCAUUCAUAAUCGCACUAUACAGAUAAGUAUUCUUAAAUUCUUUUGGUUAUUUGUAUCUUCCUUCAUCCUCAUAAUAGGUCCCCAGAUAUCAAUGAUAUCAGUGACACUGCUAGUGGCUCAGAGUCUCUUUUUGAGUGAGAUAUGUGUUUGGAGGAUUCUCAGGAUUUCGAGGAUGACCAAGGCUGUAACCUAUCUCUUGAUUUGUUGAGGAUGGUAGAACAAGACAAGAAACAAAUCCUGCCUCACAAAGAACCGAUAGAAAUUGUGAGCAUAGGAGAAGGACAAGAGGUGAAGAUCGAAACUUGUAUCACCAAGGAGAUGAAGCAAGACCAUAUCGAAUUGCUUCAAGAAUUCAAAGAUGUCGUCGCAUGGUCAUGCCAAGAUAUGCCCAGGUUGAACACUGAUAUCGUGGUGCACCGACUCCCUAUAAAGGAAGAAUGUAAGCCAGUUCAGCAAAAACUUCGAAAAAAUGAGGCCCGACGUCUUGCUAAAAAUAAAAGAAGAGGUUAGAAAGUAGUUUGACGUUGGAUUUUUAAAGGUGGUAAAAUACUCAGAAUGGGUAGCCAACAUUGUCCUUGUCCCUAAAAAGGAUGGAAAAGUAUGAAUGUGUGUAGACUACAGAGAUUUGAAUAAAGCCAGCCCGAAAGAUAAUUUCCCACUGCCUUACAUCGACACCUUAGUGGACAACACGGCAGGACAUUCACUGUUUUCCUUCAUGGAUGGUUUCUCCGGAUAUAACCAGAUCAAGAUACAUCCUGAAGAUAUGGAGAAGACCAUAUUUGUAACCAUGUGGGGCACGUUCUGCUACAAGGUGAUGCCGUUUGGACUGAAAAUAUAGGGGCAACAUAUCAAAGGGCCAUGGUAACCCUAUUCCACGACAUCAUGCACAAAGAAAUCAAAAUUUAUGUUGAUGAUAUGAUCGCAAAGUCCCGAACAGAGAAGGAGCAUGUACAAGUCUUGAGGAAGUUGUUCUUAAGGUUGAGGAAGUUUCAGCUAAAACUCAAUCCGGCCAAAUAUACCUUCAGAGCCAAGUCUGGAAAGCUUCUCAGAUUCGUGGUUAGUGAGAAAGGGAUUGAGAUUGAUCCAGAAAAAGUCAAAACCAUACAAGAGUUAUUCCGCCGCGUACCGAGAAAGAGGUUCGAAGCUUUCUAGGAAGAUUAAAUUACAUCGCUCGGUUCAUCUCACAACUAACAGAGAAAUGUGAGCCUGUUUUCUGCCUCCUCAAGAAACACAACCCAGGUGUAUGGGAUGAAGAAUACCAAAGGGCUUUAGACAAGGUCAAAUGAUACUUAUCCAACGCUUUAGUGCUGAUGCCACCUAACCCUGAUAAGCCAUUGAUACUGUACUUGGCAGUAUUUGAGAAUUCCAUAGGAUGCGUACUUGGUCAGCAUGAUGAGUUAGGAAGGAAAGAAAAAGCUAUUUACUAUCUUAGUAAAAAGUUCACUGAAUAUGAGACGAGAUAUCCGCCGAUAGAAAAUUUUUGUUGUGCCCUGGUUUGGAGAACCCGAAGGUUGAUGCAGUAUAUGUUGUAUCACACUACUUGGCUCAUCUCAAAAUUGGACCCUUUGAAGUACAUGAUGGAGUCAACAGUUUUGAAUGGAAGGAUGGCCCGAUAGCAAAUUCUGCUCUCUGAAUUCGACAUAGUCUAUGUGAACCAGAAAGCAGUAAAAGGGAGUGCAAUAGCAGAUUUUCUAUCCAGUAGAGCUCUGGAAGAUUACGAGCCCUUGAACUUCGAUUUCCCAAAUAAAGACUUGAUGUGUGUUGCGACCACUGAAGAAGGUGCUCUGAAAGAACUUCCCUGGAAACUAAACUUCGAUGGGGCAUCAAAUACUGUGGGUAAUGGAAUCGGGGCAGUCUUGGUAUCUUCAAACGAAGAUCAUUAUCCAUUUACUAGUAAAUUGGAUUUUGAUUAUACGAAUAACAUGACAGAAUAUGAAGCAUGCAUCAUAGAUAUCCGUGCAGCCAUAGAGCGCAAGAUUAAAGUGCUAAAGGUGUAUGGAGAUUCUGCGCUAGUGAUUUAUCAACUCAAGGGAGAAUGUGAAACCAGAUAUCCCAAGUUGAUCGAUUAUCGAAAACUGGUCCUUGAAUUGGUUAAAGAGUUCGAUGACAUUACCUUCCGCUACCUUCCACGAGAUGAAAAUCAGAUUGCCGAUGCUUUGGCCACCUUAGCUUUCAUGAUCAAGGUGAACAAAGAAAAAGAUUUCAAACCCAUCCGGAUGAGCAUCUUUGAAACUCCGACUCACUCUUACAAUAUUGAAGAAGACGAAAAAAAAGAUGAUCACCCUUGAUAUCACGAUAUAUUGCAAUACGUGAGGAAUCGUGAGUACCCAGACCAGGCAAGCGAGAAUGACUAAAGGACACUGAGAAGAUUGGCCAUUGACUAUGUCUUAGAUGGGGAGAUCCUAUACAAAAGAAGAAAGGAUCAAGUGUUAUUAAGAUGCGUAGAUGCUGUAGAGGCUAAGAAAAUCUUGGAAGAAGUCCAUGAAGGCUUCUGUGGGACACACGCUAAUGGCUUUACGAUGGCCAAACAAAUUAUGAGAUUCAGGUAUUAUUGGUCCUUCAUGGAAGGAGAUUGUGUCAAUUACGCCAAGAAAUGUCAUAAAUGCCAAAUCUAUGGAGACAAAAUUCAUGUGCCUCUUUCACCGCUGCAUGUCAUAACUUCCCCAUGACCUUUCUCUAUGUGGGGUAUGGAUGUGAUUGGACCAAUAUCGCCGAAAGCUUCUAAUGGGCAUCGGUUUGUUUUUGUAGUUAUCGACUACUUCACCAAAUGGGUAGAAGCCGCUUCAUAUGCCAAUGUUACAAAGUCGGCAGUGAGCAAAUUGCUAAAAAAGGAGAUCAUAUAUUGAUAUGGAAUGCCAGAGAGAAUUAUAUCUGGCAAUGAGUUAAACUUGAACAACAGUAAGAUAGCAGAAGUCUGCAGUUGAUUCAAGAUUAGACACCACAACUCAUUACCAUAUCGCCCGAAAAUAAAUGGGGUAGUGGAAGCGGCCAAUAAAAACAUUAAGAAGAUUGUGGAGAAGAUGACUGAGACCUACAAAGAUUAGCACGAGAAGUUACCAUUUGCCCUCUUCGCUUAUUGAACAUCAGUCAGAACCUCAACUGGGGCAACGCCUUUCUUUUUGGUCUACGGAAUGGAAGCGAUUUUGCCAAUCGAAGUCGAGAUUCCAUCCCUUCUAGUGUUUUCGGAGCUAAAGUUAGAUGAAAUAGAAUGGAUCCAGUCUCGAUACGAUCAAUUGAACUUGAUUAAAGAAAAGAGGCUAAGAGUUAUCCGUCAUGGUCAGAUGUACCAAAAAUGAAUGAUGUGGGUUUAUGACAAAAAAGGUCCGCCCAAGAGAGUUUCAUGAGGGAGAUCUGGUUCUGAAAAAGAUCCUUCUUAUAUAAAAGGAUUUUAGAAGAAAAUAGAUGCCCAAUUGGGAGGGGCCUUACGUGGUGAAGAAAGCUUUAUCCAAAGGAGCAUUAAUUCUAGCCAAAAUGGAUGGUAAAAACUUGCCCAAUCCCGUGAAUUCAGAUUCCGUCAAAAAGUAUUUUACCUAAAGAGGAAGAGGCCAAGGUGAAAACUCGCAAAGGGCGCUUUGGAAAAAAAAUGGAAAGGCCAAUGUGAAAACCCGCAAAGACACUUUGAGACCAAAUGGGUUUUGAGAUAAAAACCUGAAAACAGAUCAAAUCUUGAAUACGGGACAUGUGGUAGUCUUGUCCUCCCAAAUUAACAAGAGGGAAGAACUGUACAUCUUGGAGCCGCAACAAAAUACGCGGGAUCUCCUGAAUACAUAUUUAGCUCGAAAUGGCCUUUGAAAAGUUGGAAUAGUGAAGCUCGUGCUGUGAUAUCUGGGGCACCUUCUUCUCAUCUUAUUCUGUACCUUAGUAGAUUUGCUAUCUUGUUUAAUUUAUUCACUCUGAGUUUUGCUCUCAAUAAAAUUCCAUCUUGUCUAUUAUGAUGACCCCUUUCGAGCAUUUUUGUUGAAAUCACGAUUUUCAGACUUAUAAUAUUCACACAAAAGAAGUUAUGCAUAUUACUCUGGAAGGUCUCUAAAUAGUACAAGGACCUGAAAUAAAGCCACUAGUUAGGACUAACCAGAUUCAAAAGUUGGAAAUGUUGAAAAAGAAUAGUCCAAAUUGUGACUAUUUCUUCAAAUUUUCUGUCAAAGAUACCGGCUAAACAAGAAGAGACGAUAGCACAUCAAUGAUAGAACCCUGAUGAACUAUAAGUAAUGAUACCUUAAGUUUUUAAAAAGGAAUCACUCUCAUAACAAUUCUACAUUUAUAAUCAUUCAUCUAGUUAGGAGCAUUUAACUCAUUUUGAUUAUGGCAUCCUAAUUAUUUGGCGUAAACAUAGGUAUAGGAAACCGAUUCUAAAAAUCAUACCCUUAGAGGACGGUGUAGCAUUCGGUGAAUUCACAGAUCUUGUCUCCCUAAAGUUACAGUGGAACAGAUCAAAGACGGCAAGCCUUAACCCCUUAAGUAGUAGGGUAACAGGCUGAAGAUUACAGAUCUUGUCUCCCUAAACAGUAGUGGAGCAAAUCAAAGAAGCAAGCCUUAACCCCCUAAGUAGUAGGGUAACAGGCUGAAGAUUGUAGAUCUUGUCUCCCUGAAGCAACGUGGAAUAGAUCAAACAAAGUGAGCCUUAACCCCCUAAGUAGUAGGGUAACAGGUUGUAGAUCUUGUCUCCCUAAGCAGUAGUGGAGCAAAUCGAAGACGGUGAGCCUUAACCCCCUAAGUAGUAGGGUAACAGGUCGAAGAUUAGCAGAUUUUAUCUUCCUGAAGUUACAGUGGAGCGGAUCAAAAUCACAAUCCUUAUCUCUCUGAAGCUGCAGUAGAGCAGGAUAAAAUAGACAAACCAUAUCUCCCUGAAGUUGCAGUGGAGCAGUUGCAGUAGAGCAGACUGAAGUUGGCAGAUCUUAUCUCCCUGAACUUACAGUGGAGUAGAUUGGAACUACAAUUCCUAUACCCUUGAAGUUGCAAAAGGAUUGGAACUAAGCUAAUUCGAAGAAGAAGCGCUUCAAAGAAGUCAUGAUUUGAUGAGACCGGGCAAAAUUGGUCCUCUUUGAAGUCUUUGCUCUAUUCUCAUUACACGACACUGAGCAAAGAGGGGCAGUUGUAAUGGGCCAUUUUUGCCCGGGCCCGAAGAAGAACCAAAAUACAAAAUAAAAACAAUAAAUAAAAAGACCAAAUUAUAAAGUCCAUCAGCCCAUCAAUCCAACUACAGUCCAUUUACACAUUAAAAGGGCCCGGAGUAAAACCCAAAACUAAUCAGCUCAAUUAACAAAUCCCUAACCCAAAAAAAUACAUGGCCCAAUGGCCCAAAACCUAGACCUAGGUUCGGCCAAACGGAACCCUAGGUCACCCCCCUUUGCGCCGCAACCAAACAGCAGCCCUCAGCCUCCUGGCGCCACAGCCACGCUCGCGCCUCCGUACGCCAGCGCAUAAUCACGUACAAUGCUAGCAAACUCCGUACCUGCAAGCAAAUGAAAAGACACCAGCACAACAAAGAAAAGAAAACAAUUUUUUUUCUUUUUCGUUUUUUCUCUGUUUUCGGCUAUAAAAGCCAUGUAAUAUUCUAAGUUUUUUUUUAGACAUGAACGCAUACUGAAUACAAAAAAAGGGCAUUUCGAAAGCAAAUCAGAAGAGGUGACUUUUAGUUUUUAUUCCGAUUUGAUUUUUAUUUUCUUUCUUCGUGUUUUUUUUAUUUAGUGUAUAAUAAAAAAGGAAGGAUCUAACCUGUGUUUGGGAGCCUUUGAAUCUAUGCUUGUUUCGUCAUAAUCGAAACUUAGUAGCGAUUUAGAGCUUGCGAGUAAGACUCGCAAACUUGUGGUUCAAUAUGAAGCCUUGAUUGACCAUCGAAUGGGUCGAAAGGAAAGGUAAGAGAAUCGUCGAUGGAGGGCUUGUCGAUUGGCCGAAUAUUGAAGGGAAAAGCUUUGUUUUCUUUCUCCUUUUUUGAAGCGGCUAGAGGAUUUACUUAGGGUAGUUUUGCUUUUAUGGGGAUUUACUUAGGGUUUGUUUUGGCUGCUAUGGGGAAUAUUAAGUGACACCGUUUCAGGCUAAUAAUAAUAGCCUCAAAACGGCAUUGCUUAAAAGGGAGGGGGUAUUUACACGAUAGGUCCUCCCUUUCGUGUGUGCACUCGAUUGCACCUUGUUUACUUUGUUUUGUUUUUUUAAUUUGGUUUGGUAAGUCGUAUUCAUUUUCAAUUGGGUCCACGCCUCAAUAAGGAUCUGGAAUAAUUCCAGUUUUAGUCCUUGUGCAUUUGUGCACAUUACACGCCGGUCCUUAUUUUGGUUUCUUUUAUUUAGAAAUUAUCCCUUUUAUUUUUAAGUUUAUUUCAUUAAGCUUCCUAUUUGAAAUAUUUAUUAUUUUAAAAUUCAUUUAAUACUUUUAUCUAUUUUAUUAACUUUGCUUUGUUUUUUAUUUAUUUAUAUUAUUAUUUUGAAGUUGGUUUUUUCAUUUAGACAUUUUUGUGUAUAUUCGUAUAUAUAUUAUUUUGGUUAGAUGAUUGUUUUAAAAUUCAUCUUUUGUUUAUAAAAUCAUUAUUUUGAAAGUCAUUAUAUCGUAUUCUUUUAGUAUAUUAGAUAGUAUCUCAUUUAAAUGUGUUUUUUAUAUAUACGUAGAUAUAUAGUAAUAUUAAUUUAAUCUUGUAUGCGUUUCCUUGUUAUUUUUUUUAAAUAAUUAUUUUUAAAUUUAUAUAUGAUUUAUAAAUCUAUGAUAUGUAUGGUUUAUCUCCCUAGAUUAUAUUUCAUUAUAUAUAUUUUCAUUAUAUUUUCAUAUUUUAUACAUUAUUAAAUUCUCCUUUAUUGUAUGUAUUUUUUAAAAUGUUUUUAACACCUUGUAUAUUAUUUGACUUUAAAAAUCUUCAUUCUAUAAUACACAUUUUAAAUGAUUAUAUAUAUCUCUAGUUUUUUUAAAUCCAUCAAUUCAUUACAUAAUAUAUAUUAUGUACUUAUCAUUGUUUUAAACAUGUUUUAUACCAUAUUGCUUCUUUGAUUUGCAUUUUGUUUUGUGCAUCUUGUAUUGAUCAUUUUAUAUUAUGCCAUGUAUGUUAUCGUUGCAUAUUAUUUAUUCAUUUUAUUGUUAUAUCAAUUGUCCUCCAUCCAUGUUUAGAAGUUCGAUUACAUUCGUCUUAGGCUAGUCAUACUUGAUUAUCAUUUUGUUAAUUGGCAUUGCAUCUUAUGAAAUAUUGCUUUAUAACUCCUAACUCCUUAUAGUUAAUUAUUUCAUCUUAUUUCAAGUAAAAUUAAUACGUUUUAAGCUAUUUCUAUGAUUGUUUAUUUGAAGAUUCGUUAAAACAAAGGCAAUAUUCGAUGUUUGGAAAUUCGGGGAAUAGUGCCCUAUCGUUCUGGGUUUCGAUUUCCCGUUUGUUCAAAAUAAUCAAAUAUUCCUUUAGAAUUUUACUCGUGUUUUUCCAAACGAUAAAACAAGGCAAUAUCUGAUGUUUCAAAAUUCGGGGAAUAGUGCCCUAUCGUGCUGGGUUUCAAUUUCCCGUUUGUUCAAAAUAAUCGAAUAUCCCUUUGGAAUUUCACUCGUAUUUUCUAAAGCAAGGCAAUGUUUAAUGUUUGGAAAUUCGAGGAAUCGUGCCCUACCGUGUUGAGUUUCGGUUUUUCGUUGGACUAAAUAAUUGAGCAUCCUUUUGUAAUUUACAACAUAUGAACUUUUGGAAGUCGAAAUUUAUCAUGUUUUCGAGGGUAUAAAGGAUCGUGUCCAAUCGUGCUGGAUGUGAUGCUAUAUUCCUCUGAAACAAGAGAAUUUGGACGACCAACUUGAACUAUUCAAAUGUUUUCAAAGGAAUCAUAUUUCAAAAAAAAUUUUAAAUCUUAGACAUAAGGACAGUAUUUAAUCGAUUUGGUACCAAUUUUGGGCGUAGUGAGGGUGCUAAUCCUUCCUCAUGCGUAAUCGACUCCCGAACCCGUUUUCUCAAAUUUACGUAGGCCAAAAUUGGUUUAAAUGGAGUAAAAUAUUUUAUUAAGGUGAUCCAAUCACACUGAAACAAUAGAUUGUUGGCGAGUUCAUAUUUCGUUUUCAAAGUCGAUCCACGUUUUUGUUUUCAAAUUUAAAAGAUGGUUUCGACACAUAUAUUUAAUAUUAAAUAGAUAUUUAUUAUUUUAUAAAAGAUAUUUAUUAAUUAAAUAAUUAUAUUAUAAGAUUUUAUAUGAUAAAUAUAUUAAAUAAUGACAAAUGUUUGGUUAUAAAUGGAUACAAAUGUACUAAUAAUAUACACAUGAAUAAAUAAAUAAUACUUAUUAUUUAAAUAUAAAUACAUGUGUGUAUAUAUAUAAUAAAGAAAUGAAGAAAGAAAAAGAGAAUAGAGAUGAAGAAAAAGCAAACGAAACAGAGAGCAGGGGAAGGAAGGAAAGAAAAAAAAAAAGAGAAAGGAGAAAAGGGAAGAUUAAAGGAGUGAAGCUUGGAAGUUUAAUAGGUAAGUUAAUUAAGUCAUUUUCUUUUAAUUUUGAUGUUUUAAAAGUUUUGGAAUAAGGUUUUGAUGAAGUUAAGUUGAUAUUUUGAAAGUUAUUAGAUUUUUAGAUAUAUUCAUGUUGAAUGAAAUGAUUGAAUUAGGGAUUAAAUUGAUAGAAUUUCAAGUUAGAAGUGAAAUAAGGAUUGAAUUGUAUGAACUGUGAAAUUUGGGGCAAAAUAGAAAUUAACAUCUUGCACUAAAACAGUUUUGGACAGCAGCAGUAGUCUAACUUUGAAAAUUCACCAAAAAUUAUAGAGAUCGAAUUAUAGGAUGAAUAAAAUAUGAAAUUAAAUCUUAUUAAGUCUAGUUUCUUAUAGAAGAAAUGGUGUAAGCAAUGAAACUGUAAAUCAUGAGAUAUAAUAAAUUUUGUGAGAUAAGGUCAGAAUGAUUUUGGGUCCCCCUGUACUGAUUUUGAAAAAUCAUAAAAAAUUGGAGAAAAAUAAUUAUGGGCUUAAAUAGAAACAAACGGAAACAUAAUUUGAAUUCUAUAUGAGGAGAUAAUUAAUUUUUAGUGAAGAAGAGUCAGAACUAUCAGACAGCAGAACAGGGGUAAAUUUAAAGAAUAAACUGUACUUAUUGGCUAAACCAAAAAUUCUGAAAAUUUUAUGGUAAAAAGAUAUAUGAGUCUAGUUUCAGGGAAAAUUAGCGGAUCUUAAUUUGGAGUUCUAUAUCUCCAGAUAUAAAUAAUUUAGUGACUAUGACACUGAUGGACAACUUGAAUAUUCAUAAAAGUAAAUAAUAAAAAUUAUAGAUGAUGUUACUUACAAGUGUGUUAUAUACAUUAAGGAUGUGGAAUGGAGAGGAGGAGGAGGAAAAUAUAUAUGAUAUCCAGCUAGCAUGGCUAACUUCCAUGUUUUAGGCUUAAGGACUAAAUUGAAUAAAAGUAAAACUUCAGGGGGCAAUUUUGUAAAACUAUCAAAAAUGACCAAAUUAAAGGGAAUGAAUUGUUUUAUUAUCUAAAUUAAUAAAUUGAAUAAAAUUUUCAAUUUAAGAUCGAGUGAAAAUCGAUAUAUUUGAUAAAAUGGGAAGAAAUCCCGGUUGAAUAAAAUGAAAUUUCAAUGGAUCUCUGAAAAGGAAUUGACGGUAAAAAUGAUCUAGCCGGACGGGUGAUCCUAUCCUGAUGUAGCCCUCCCGAAGAAUAUGUGUAAAACGGAUUUAGCCCGGACGGGUAAUCCGAAUUAGGGUUUGAAUUUAGCCUGGACUGGUAAUUCAGAUCCAAGCUCAUUAGAGUAAUUGUCGUUGCAGGAGAUUUAGCCCGGACUGGUAAUCCCGACAAUACUCUAUGAGUUUAUAUUACAGGGGAUUUAGCCUGGACUGGUAAUCCCACUGUAAGGAUGAGGUUCGCGGGAGUGUGCUCUCUGAAAUGAAAUGUGUAAGACCAUAGUUGAAAGAUACCAUGGCAACCUAAUAUGAAAUGUGUAAGACCAUGGUUGAAAGAUACCAUGGCAACCUGAUAUAAAAUGUGUAAGACCAUGGUUGAAAGAUACCAUGGCAACAUGAAAUAAAAUGUGUAAGACCAUGGUUGAAAGAUAUCAUGGCAACGUGACAUGAAAAGAAUAAGACUAUGGUUGAAAGAUACUAUGGCAACAUGACGGGAAUGAAUAAGACCAUGGUUGAAAGAUACCAUGGCAAUGUAAUAUGAAAUGAAUAAGACCAUGGUUGAAAGAUACCAUGGUAACCUGACAGAAAAUGAGUAAGACAAUAGUUGAAAGACACUAUGGCAUCAUGUCGAAGAUAAAUAAGACCCUGAAUGGGAGAUACUAUGACAUCAGUUGAACAAUUGAUAUUCAGGUAAUAUGUAUCAGAUGAUGAAGGGUUAUACGAAAUGGUUCUGUGAAAUGUUUACAAGAAUUGGUUAUAUGGAAAUAUAUGUACAAAAUAGUUGUAUGAAAUAAUUAAGAAGAUAGAUAAAUGAAAUAAGUAUAGGUACAUGGAAUUUAAUUUAUAUUAAGUUUAAUAUGAACUAUUACCAAAAUAAAUAUACAUAAGAUAUAAGGAAAUGAUGGUGCAUGAAAUAUACAUAUAACGAAAUGAAUGAUAUAUGCUUAUGAAGAAACAAUAAGAAAUUAAUAUGUUUUGUGACAUGUACAUAUAUAAUUAUCUUUGAUAUGUUGAUACAAAGAAAUUAUGUAAGUUGAGAUUAUUAUUAAAUUCAAGUGUGAUAUGUUGAGAAAAUAGGGAUAUCAAUGUUGAAUUUAUAUGAAAUAUGUACUAGUAUACUAACAAUGUUGCUGUUUGAUGCUUAUACAAGUGCCAAGUUGUUGAUUGAACGGUAAUAUAUUUAUUUAUAUGAUGCAUUGAAUCGGUAAGAAUUUAAUUAAAUUUUUUUUAGGUGAUCUGUAAAUUCUAGUAAUGCUCCGAAACCCUGUUUCAACAACGGAUACGGGUUAAGGGUGUUACAAUUCAAAUGUUUUAAAAUGAACCAUAUUUCAAAAAUAGUUUUAAAUCUUAGACAUAAGGACAGUGCUUAAUCAAUUUGGUACCAAUUUUAGGCGUAGUGAGGAUGCUAAUCCUUCCUCAUACGUAACCAGCUCCCGAACCCGUUUUCUCAAAUUUACGUAGACCAAAAUUGAUUUUAAUAAAACAAAGUGUUUUAUUAGGUGACCCAAUCACACCUAAAUAAAAUAUUGGUGGCGACUCCACAUUUGGUUUUCAAAAAGUCGAUCCCCGUUUUGUUUUCAAAUAAAAAAUGGUUUCGACAACAUCAUCUAUUUAACAAAAUUUUUCCCUCAUUUUCUUUCUUGCCAAACACUAUUUUUCUUAUUCAAAACACAACAUUCUUAAACAUGUUCAGUCGUUCAUUGAUCUAACUUCAAAAUUUCCAUUCUUGAACAUGAAGAUUGAUUAAACUUUUUCAUCAGAUAUCAUGCAUACAUUAAAGAAAUUCCAAAGCUCUGAGUAUAGAUUCCAGAAAUUUUCCACAAUCUAAUAAGAUACAUUAGUCUUUCUUCUAAAAAUAAUAAAGGAAAAAAAAUGCCUAAGCAAGUAGUAGACAAUAACAAACAACAGCAGAAUUACCUUCGAAUCAAACUCUUGAACUUCUUUGACCAAAUUAAAACAUGAAACCCAGCAAAUAGGAAGUAGAUCAGAAAAAUCUUUCUCUGAAAAGCUUGCAUCUUCAACAUGUAAACACAAAAAUCUGCAGGCAGCCAGCUAAAAUAACAUACAACAUAGUGAGUGAGUACAACAACCUUCAUAAAUAGAUUAUUAUUAAGGGGCAGAGAGAGGAGGGAAACAUGAUGAAAAAGGAAAAGCAAACUUCUAAAAGAUACCCUCACAGAUAGAUCUUUGUCCUGUAACAACCGUAUCAAGGCACAGUAUACAGGCCUCUUUGUGUCAUUCUUAAUCUGCAUGAAUGCAAAUAUCAGAAAAGAAUCAUUAUGAGUAACUUCCCGCAGCAACCAAAGUAGAAAUUUAAGAGGAAUAACAAAUAAUACAUAGUAUUAUAUCGACAUUCAAGAAUGAAAAAUUUGAAGAUGAAGAUCAAUGAAUGACAAAACAUGUUCAAGAAUGUUGUGUUUUGAAGAGAGAAAAUGAGAGAAAAAAAUGGCAGCCGAUAGUUGGGGGAAAAAAAUAAUGAAUUUAAGUCGAAACUUGAAAGUGUGGGGUGGGUUUACAAAAAUUACACAAAAGCAUGAUUAUAAUCAUGGUAAUGGAGAUUUCCAUAUGUUUUGAAGAAGAAAAAUGGUGUUUGGCAAGAGAGGAAAUGAGAGAAAAAAAAUGGUAGCAACCAUGUGUUUUGAAAAAAAAAGUGAUGUUCGGCAAGAGAGAAAAUGAGAGAAAAAUUUUUGUUAAACAGGUGACGUCAUUUAUGACGUGUGCGCUUAUGUGGCAUGCCACAUGGGCUACUAUGUUGACCUACAAUUUGAUUAACGGUCAACUCACAUUGACCGUUAAAAGUGGACUGAUUUCUGAAAAAAUCGUAACAUUGAGAGUGUCAAUCAAAAAAUAAAAAGGUUAAGGGCACAAAACCAAAAGCCCUCAAAUGUUGAGGGUUUUUUUUUGCAAUUAUGCCUUUAUUUAUUCUAUUGUUGGAAUUGAAUUAUUGUUGGAAUUAUAAUAUUGAAUUGAAUUUUGGAUUGAAUAGAACGCGAGAUUUGAGUACAUUCGUAUUUUGGUGUAUGAUGGUAUUGGAAGGAGACAACGCCAUUUUUUCCAAGUAAAUCAGGGUUAAGCAUUUGUUGUGAACUCUCAUGUUUUACUUUCUAUUUAGCUCUUAUGAGCUUAUGUUCACGAGUUUCUGUUCAUCUUUCGAGCUUUUAUUGUGUAUUCAGAAAGACUAGCUCUUAUGAGCUUCUAUUAACGAUGUACUCUUAUGAGUAAGUCAUUUUUCGAAUGGAAAAAUUUUGGUAAGAUGAUUUAUCUAAUGAAUUUGAAAGACAUGUUAUUAUUGAUAUGAAAAUGGAUGUAUUUAUUAAUAGAAGUUAUGAAUGACAAGAAAUUGUCAGUGAAUGAUAGGGAAUUGAUAUGAAUGAUUUUAUUUAUUUUACUUGUUAUGUUAGGUUCGGUAAGAUUUUUGUUUAAAUCGUCGAACUUACUAAGCUUCAUUAAGCUUAUUUGUAUUGUCUAAUAUCUCUAUAGAUUUUUAGAAGGUUGGAUGAUUGGAUCAGCACUCAAGUCACACUAUCCAGCUUAUCUCGGUAGUUUUUGAAACAUUAAAUACGGUUUAUAUAGCAUGUAUAGGCUUUUGUUCGAUUUUGGUCAAAAUUUAGCUUAUGUCAAUGUUAUGAAUAAUAUUUUUUUUAUAUAACCAACAUACAUAUUGAUAUGAAUAUAAAGUAUGAGUGUGAUGUUAGUAUAAGUGAUAUAUAUAUAAUUGAGUUAAAAUGAACUUUGGUAACUUAGUUAGGUAAAUGUUUGGUUAUUGGUAGACUUAUUUUCAGUUGUCAUUAGAGGUACUUAUGAGUAUAUUGGUUGUAUAUGGUAGUAUUACAUGUAUAAGACUUGAUUUUAGCUUGUGUUGAAUGUCUUGUUAUGGCUUAUUGAUUUGUAAAUUGUUGAGACCAGGUUGGUAUCAAUUUGGGUGAAAAAUGUGGCUUAGAAAAUAACCUAUUUUCGUCCACAUGAGCAGAGAUACGGGCGUGUGUCACAAUUGUGUGUGACACACGGCCAAGUGACACGGCCGUGUGCCGUGUGUCCCCUAUAUCAAGUCAGUAUGCACACAUGGCUUAGCACACGGGCGUGUGGCUUGGCUGUGUGGCCCAAGUUUAAGAGUUAUACAAGCACGAACACGGGCUAGUACACGACCAUGUGUCCCUAUUUCAAAUGCCCACACGAUUGUGUGUCCCCUGCAACUUUGAAAAUUUCAAUGUUUUCUGAAAAAUUCUUUGAGUACCCGAUUUAGUCCCGACUUGUUUUUAACACGUAAUUUGGGCCCCAAAGGCUCAUAUAAUGGAUAAUAUGUUUGAUUUUGAUUAAUUUUUGACAUGAAUGUUAUAUUAUAUAAAAUGUAUGUUUAUUUGAUCUGUAAUCUCUAGUAAUGCUCCGUAACCUUGCUCCGGCGAUAGAUACCGGUUAGAGGUGUUACAACUUAGAUUCCACAAGAAAAAUAUAAAAAUAUAAAAGUAGGGUGCAUUGGAUUUUGAUUCAAAUAAUUUAAAAUUCAAAUAAAAAAGUUGAUUGUAAAUGAAAUAUAAAUCUAUCUCAAGAUGUUUUAUUUUGCUUUGCAAAACCAAACAUUGACUAUGAGAUAUGGCAUUUUAAAAGACUUUUAAAUAUUGAAAUAGCAAAAGUUUGAAACUCUUUACCAUAUUCAUAACCCCAAAAGUUUCAAAAGUAAUAAUUGUGGUGACUUGAUAUUAAGUGGAAGAGUGGGCAAUGAUUGGUUUUCCUUUGAAGACCAACUUGUUAGUUUUGGAUCAAAAUAAAGAAUGUAAUCAAUGUUAAACUGUGAUUAGUGUGAUGACUUGCCUAAUCCACGCUUGAAUACAUAUAAAGAUUUAGUCAAGUAUUGAAGAAUGCAUUUUACUUCUUUGGAGCAUGCAUAAACUUAAGAAGUUUGGUUCAUUGGAAACAAUCAAAUUUUGUGAAGGAAAGAGAUUAGAGUUUCCCAAUAGUUUAUCAAUAUAUGGUGACAUCAAUAUGGUCAAAUGCUCUUGAAGUUUAUAAGGAUAAGAGGAACUAAUUUAAGUACAAACUCAUAUACUGUAUUGCAUCCCUCUAUCAUUGAUAACAUGCUGAAUGUAUUUGCUUUGCGUCAUUAGGUAUAAUCUUAUCGAAUGUGCAUUUAUAUUUAUAAAAAAGUUGGUAAGUAAAGCAAAACAAAUUCAAUUUGGAAUUGAAUAACUGGCUUGCGAUAUGGAGAAAGGUUCUUAACAGAUUUCUUUCAUCCUAAUACUCAUGCAAGGGAGGGAUUUGCACAGUUAAAAUCCAAAGAAUAUGACGACAUGAUCUUUAACAUAGAUCAAUCUCUUAAUAAACUUUGUUGGAAUUAUAGUCCCAGGUUGAUGGUCUUAAAAACUUUGCUCUCUUCUCAGCGGUACAAAAUAGACUGAAAGUUCUUUAUUAUUCUCAAAUGACAAAUGCAUUACUAUUAAAACCACACACUAAUAGUAAACAAAACACUAGAAAUCAGGCAUCCUUUUCCAUACGAGUGGUGGAAUGAUCAGAAGCAGGUAUUCACAAGUUCCUACUGAUCAUAUCUUUUCAUUUUUCCUAAAUCAAAGUACACCCGAUGGUCCCAAUAACUUCUUGAUUCCAGAUUUCUGCUCUGCAGUUAACCUUGUUGGGAACUUAAUGUUGAACUUGAUUCUGAGGUUCCCUCUUUUCGAUGGGUCUUUGGGAAUUGGCAUACCUUCCUUCGGGACUACCUCCUCAUAGUUUGGAUGGAUCACACUGUUGAUGGGGAUGUUCAAGCUCCUUCCAUCCAAUGUUGUAAGAUGAACGGUGUAGCCUGUUAAUGCUUCGGCCAGCGAUAUCUUUUGCGUGACAACCAGGUCAUUGCCAUCGCGUGUGAAUGUGCUGUGAGGUUUUUCAUCUAUUAUGAAAACAAGAUCUGCAGGGAUUGUGUUCGGUUGUUCGUUUCCUUUCUCAGGGAAGGUAAUCUUUGUUCCCUUUUUCCAACCAGGUUUGAUAUCAAUGGUCAGGAUUUCCUGCACUGGCAAUGUCUUCCUGCAACACAGACAAAUUUUUAAGACAACCUUGUUAGCAAGGGAACCAUCAGCAGCCAUGAAAAUAGUUGGCAUUAUCAGGCAUGUUACGAUCUUAUCUCGGAUAGGUAUGUUAUUUAGAAACAUGUACGAAAUAUGAUCAAGACAAACUCUUCAGCUCUCUUUUACUGCUUACUUAUAGACUAAAACAGAUCAAUUAGGAAGUUAACAAAUACGCUUCAAUAUAUCAUUGAAAACCAAUAAUUGAAUGAUUAAUAGUACUGCAAACAUAUUUCAAUAAAUAGAUACUUCUUGUUACUUCAGAAAGAUAUCAACCAAAUUCAAUGAACGUUCAGCUGGAAACUCGAAAACACAUACAAAAAGGAAGAUAAGAAGUCAAAUUAGUAAAAUGAGGCAUACCCGAUAGCAUCUGCAAUUUCUCUAGAAAUCUUCAUCUUCUUUGUGGUUCCUUUAUAUAAAUCUUCAAGGCUACAAGGCAACGUAUUUUCAAUAGGAGGAGGUUUACGAGGAUUCUGACUCAUUGGCCUUCCUUCACCAAACGAACUGAAUAUAUCAUCACCAAACAUGCCACCAAAUGACCUUGAGCUACCUCUCAUCCCACUGCCGCCCAUUCCCCCAAAGGGGCUAGAAUACCCAAAGAACUCGGCAAAGAUGUCAUUAGCAUUUCUGGGGUUGAAUCUGAACACAUUUGGACCGUCUCCGGUUUGGAAAAAUGUUGCUCCACCAGGUCCGCCAGCAUCUUGAGGUGGUACUUGGCCUUUUAGCCCUUCUUCACCAUACUGGUCAUAGAUAGCUCUCUUUUGUGGGUCACUCAAAACCUGCAAACAUGAAAGUUGGUCAUAUUUUCCUCUUAAAUUUUGACUUCCUAUAUAUGUAAAGAUCAAAUUUUCAAUUGAUGAGAUGGGCAAUCGCAUAGUUUGAAUUAAGGAGACCUAGGUGACAAGCAUGUGAUUUUGAUACAGAGUCUCAAUAAGCAAAGAGAAACCACCAAACUUGAUUGAUGAUCAUCCUAAUUAUUAAAUAAAAGCAACCCAAUUUUUCCUUUGAACUUUAAGAAUCCACAAAAUAAAUGAAUUUAUAAAAAACGAAAAAGGGAUAAGCUUACCUCAUAAGCUUCAGAGAUUUGCUUGAAUUUGGCCUCAGCUUCCUUUUUGUUAUUUGGGUUCUUAUCAGGGCGCCACUUCAUGGCAAGCUUCCUAUAAGCUUUCUUCAAAUCAUCAUCUUUUGCAUUCUUGUCAACUUGUAGAAUCUUGUAAUAAUCUACACCCAUCUUCUUCUUACUCAACCUCUGCUUUUAUCGCAGAGCUUCUUUAUUCGUUGCUGUAGCUUUGCCGCAGAAAAGAUUAUAAAAAAUGAAAAACUUGUGAGAACCUAGAAGAUAGAGUUGUGUUUGAAGGGGUUUAGUGUUUGAUUUAAGGGAAAAGAAGACGAUAUGUCUGGAAGGCAAAUGAAAAUGACGAGAAGGGUGUGGAAGUUUCCAGAUAAGCCCAAGGGGCUACACGAUUUCUCCCGAUUUUGUGUUUCUAAUUUCUAAAGCAAACAAAACUACCUCUCCCUCGCCUCAUUGAUUAGUUUUUACAGUUACAACCCCAAUAGUUGGACCUGUUCUUGGCCCUCGCCGCUCCCUCGGGUAGUAACUAUUCUUACACCCCGACAUUAAUCUUUCUAAUUUAAACAUGAUCUACUCAAAUUAAAUAUAAUUUCUAAAAUAAAAUUAUAAAAUAAUGUAAAUACUAAAUACAUAUGGUACACCAACUCAUGGUUAAUAAGAAAAUUUAAAAAAUAAAAUUUGAUCAAUGGAUAGAUUUUUUUUUUGUCAAUUAAGAAGAGAGUAAACCUUAAUAAUAACACAACUAGUACAACUUGAAUUUAAGUUACACUUAGGAUGAUGAACACCUUAACUAUCAAGCUAACACACAAAGUUCUUAAUUGAUAAAUUUUUAAAAUAAAAGCAUUUGUAAUCAUCAAUAAAUCAUAGUAACUUUUCUCUUUUUUCUUCAAGUCUUUUUUUUUUAUCCAAUGAUGGUGUCGACUUUCGAGUUAACUAUCGUCCACUUUUUUUUCCCUCACAUCAAUCCCUUUUCUUUUCAUUCACACUAUGUGUGUUUUCUCUUUUUAAUUUGCUGAUCUAUUUGUGGUAUAUUUGCUCUCUUCACAAGUUGUGUUGGACAAAUGACAAUAUUUAUUGUCAUUGAAAAUCCAUCGACUACUAACAAUUUUUCUUGAAAGGUGAGUGACUCUCCGUCAAUUUCAAAAUAAUAAAUGAUUUCACAAGUCGGUUUGAACCCAUGGUGUCUUGAAUUUUAUAUUUUUUUCGUUGUUUAAAUAGUUUUCACUUUUAGAAGCUUUUGUUUGCUCUUAUAGCACAUUUUUUCCUGUUGCUUAUGCAUAUAAUCUUACUUUUGGAAGUGAUUUUAAGGAUGGUUUUGUCAUUGUCCUUUUCUAUUUGGUGAAUGCUUGGGUAUUUUGUCGAUUUUUGUCCGUCGCUUUGGACCAUCCGGUUGAUUUCCUUAUUAUAUUAAGUGCUUAAAAUCACAAUCACUUCAAAUAUGUCGUAAAAGUAGUCAAUUGUCAAUGUGUCUAUUGAUGUUGAUGUUAAAGCUUUUGUUGUAUUGAUGGAGCUUGUCCUUAAUCAUCUAAUACCAAUGUUUAUUAUUUUUUCCUUAAUUGUAUAAUUCCAUUUAUUAAAUGAAUUAAUAAAAUUUCCUUAAAAAAAUAAACUCGAUGAUUUUUAAAUAUUUUUAUUAAAAAUUGAUUUUAUACUAAUUUUAGGGAAAACUACACAAAUAGUCACCUAACUAUAAAAAUUUUCAUUUUGGGCAUCCAAAAUAAAAAAGUUUACAAUUUAAGCACCCAUGCUAUAUAGUUCAGUAAUUUUGGUCACUCCCGUUAAAAUCACAAACGACAAGCUAACUUAAUUGUUAAAAAAUCGGUAUAAUAAUAAAUUUAGCCCUCAACUUUUACAUAUUAUAUCGAUUUAAUCAUAAUUUCAAAAAAAUUAACUCUCAAAAUUUACAAAUAUUCUCAAUUUGAUCCUAAUUCUAAAAAUUAAAAAAAAAAUAUAAAAUACAUAAGUAUUUUUUAAAAAUAUAUAAUAAUAAAUAUAUAGAAAUAGAAAAUUGAUUAUUGACAAAAAAUGAUAUAUAAAAAUUAAAAAUAUAUAAAAAUACAUAAAUAUUUUUCAAAAAAUAUAAUAAUAAAUUUAAAAUUUAUAUUAGCAUUAAUAUUAAAUAAAAAUAUUUAUAUUGAUAUUAAACAAAAUUAAAAACCCUCCCUCACCCCAUCAUUCUUCCCCACACCCUUUGUACUCCACUUCUCUCUUCAUUUUUUGUCCCUUUCCUUCGGAUCUCUUUCCAGCAGUUGAAAAACAAAUAAUUUUCAUGUUGGUUUUAUUUUUUAUUUUUUUUAUUUUCUUCUUCUUCUUCUUUUAAUCUUGAAAGGGUAAUCUUUAGUUGGAGUCAUUAGAUUCCUAUGUGUUCAACAAGUGCGAAAGGAAGGAAGGAAGAAAAUGAACUAGUGAUUGUAGAAUUCAACUAAAAGUGUUAUCUUGGGCGUUCAUUAAAUGUUUAUUGUUAAUAUUCUUGGAAUGAUGCUUCAUCUAAAGCCUGAAGCUUUGGAUGAAGACCAUCGUCUUCAAAGUCCUAUUGUCCUAAUAGUAAUACCAUUAAUGACAAGGAGAAUGAGAAUUGCAAUGGUGGUAAUAAUGAGGUUUUAUUCUACCAAUCAAUUGGUACGUCUUUAUUUAGUUUUUACUUCUUUAUUUAUGCUCAUGUAUUUUUUUUUUAGUUUUGUAAUGGUGAAUGCAAUAUGGUUGAUAGUUUUGCAGUGGAAGCUCUAUUAAUAGAUAUUUAUAAUGAAAAAGUAGUAAGGUUUGGAGCAAGUCAAUUUCACCUGGGGAUGAAUCUUGUAACUUUUGUUCUUAGUUGGAGGUAAUUUGCAAAAACUAAUUUUAUGUUCCUUAAUUUGCAGCAAAGAGAGAGAGAGGGGACGCUAGUAGAGCAAGGUUCAGGGGGAGAGGGGGAGGCGGAUUUUUAUUCUAUUUAAUAUUAAUAUAAAAUUUAAAUUUAUUAUUAUAUUUAAAAAAAUAUUUAUUUAUGUAUUACUUUUUCUUGUCAACAAUUUAAUUUUAUAUCUUUAUAUUUUUUAGAAAAAAUAUUUAUGUAUUUUUAUAAAAUUUAGAAUAAAAUUGAUAUCACUCGUAAAUUUUGAGAGUUAAUUUUUAAAAUUAUGACUAAAUUGAUAUAAUAUGUAAAAAUUGAAAGCUAAAUUUUUUAUUAUAUUAAUUUCGUUAACUGCCACGUCAACUUGCCGUUUGUGAUUUUAACAGAGUGACCAAAAUGACAAAACUAUAUAACACGGGUACUUAAGUUAUAACCUUUUUACUUUGAGUGCUUAAAAUAAAUUAUUGAUAAUUAAGUGACUAUAUGUAAUUUGCCCUUAUUUCUAAACACCAAAUUAAUCAUUUUUUUUAUCAUAGAAGAAGAAACACAUAAAUAAAAUAGUUACAAUUUUUGGUGUCAUAACACCAAUAAUAUCAGCACCAAGUUGAUCAGUAAGAUAACAAUAGAAAACACUUUGCAGUGUUUGUCUCCAAUCCAUCGAUUCUAGGCCAUCAGCAAGUUUAUUACCCUCCCUGUAAAUAUGUUGGAUAACCACAUCCCAUUCCUUCAAAUAGUCCCAAGCUUUUCGAAUGAAAUUGAUCUCCCCAUCUUUAGCAUUGUUGGUUAGUACGUUAAUAACAUCAAUGCUGUCCACUUCGAGAAUCAGUCGGUGUUGUCCACUCUUCCAAGCAAGCAUUAGUCUUCAACCAUACCCCACAUCUCUGCUUCCCGUAUUGAACAUGAGCCAAUGAGUUUAGAAAACCCAACAACCCAUUCUCUCUUCCAAUUCCGUAUAACACCCUCACAAGCAGACACACCAGUAAAGGACUUAUGAGCACCAUCAAUAUUCAACUUGUACCAUCCCAAAUCAGGUUUCCUCCAGUUAGCUGACUUCACAUUCCUCGAGCGACUGCUUAUGAUACUAUUAUCAGUAUACUCCAUCACACCAAUACAUUGUUGCUGCAGUCGCAAACUCCUUUCUGAUACCAAUUCAAGCUCUACAAAAUUACCAUAAAAAGUGAAUCUAGUCAUAUACUUCCAUAGGUUCCAACAUAAUACUCCAAAGAGAAUAUUCCAACUAGCACUAUCUCGAGCAAAGUAACUGAGAUUAGAAAGAUUCCGGUUCACCUAUUCAGGAAUCUGCAUAGUUAUGAAUUCAACAAGUUUCUUCUCCCAAACCAACCAUUUCCAAAUUACUGAAGCCACGAUAUAUCCACGAAGCACAUGGUCUAAAGUUUGAUAGAUGGGUCAACAACACGCUUCUUGUAUUGAUACCGAAGGUAAAGAGUCCAAAAAUUGCCCAUCAACUAAGGCCUAUUAGUUUGUGCACAGUUCUGCACAAGAUAAUUACAAAGGUGAUUGUGAAUUGAUUGAAAUUGUUUAUGUUGAAAUGGGUGUUACCAAACCAAGUGAGUUUUGUGCCGGACAGGAACAUUAUAGAUAAUAUUAUUAUUGCUCAGGAAAUUAUACACUCAAUGAUGAGUAAGUUUGGGAAGAGAGGAUGGUUAGUGAUAAAAGUUGACUUAGAAAAAGCCUAUGACGAGUUAGAGUGGAGAUUCAUUGAGGAUACUUUACUCAAUAUUAGGAUUCCGACCAAGUUGAGAACUGUCAUUAUGCAUUGUGCUAGCUUGGUCUCAACUUGGGUGGUAUGGAAUGGGAAGGUGACGGAUUCUUUUGUUCUGUCUCGAGGUUUUCGACAAGGUGAUUUGUUAUCCCCUUACCUUUUUGUUUUAUGUAUGGAAAGGCUAGCUUAAACUAUUUGUAAAUCAAUGGAUUUAGGUCUGUGGAAAUUAAUUUUUUUUACUAGAAAUAGCACGAGCAUCUGAUAUUUAUUGUUUGCAAAUGAUCUCAUUUUGUUUGUUAAGGCCUCAAUGGAACAAAUGAGUAUUAUUUAUCAAAUUAUCAAUGAUUUUUGUGCUUGCUCGGGCCAUAGAGUGAGUGUGCAAAAGACUGAAAUUUAUUUCUCAAAGAAUGUUGAAGAUGACCUCAAACAACAAUUGAGUGAUAUGGUUUUGCACGAGUGAAUGAUCUUGGAAAGUAUUUGGGUGUCCCAUUACUUCACCAAAAGGUGUUUAAAGGAAUGUAUCAAUAUAUUAUUCAAAAAUUAUAGUAGAAGUUAUCAGGGUGGAAAGCCAAGACUUUCUCUUUAGCUGGAUGCAUCACCUUGGUUAAACCAAUCUUGUCAGCUUUACCGAUGUACACCAUACAAUUAACACGGUUACUAAAGGGUAUUUGUAAGGAGUUGGAGAGGAUAAUACAUCAAUUCACUUGAGACAAUCUACCAAAUAAAAAAGGAAUUAAUUUAGUUAAGUGGGAGCAGGUUUGCAUGCCUACAUCGGGAAGAGGGCUUGGCAUAAAAUGUACCCAAAACAAAAUGAAGCUUUUCUUAUGAAAAUUGGGUUCUAGGUGAUGACACAUGGGGACAAGUUGUGGGUGUAAGUCCUGUGUAUGAAAUAUAGAUGGAACAAAAUUUUGCAACUUUUUAUCAAGCGAAAUAAUUGCUCAAGACUUUGGAAAGGAAUAGGCCAAGUACGGGAGAUGAUUCAUCAAAGAAUGGUUUGGAAUAUUGGAAAUGGUGAAAAUUUUGAUUUUUGAAGGGAUGCAUGGAUGGUUGACAUUAGGCCACUGAUUGAUUAAUUAAGUUGAUAAGAAGAAUAGUGGCAGAAUCAUACAUGGGUCAGUGGUUUCAAUGGUUACACCAAAUGGUGAUUGAAAUUGGAGUUUAUUGAAAGAUGUUUUACCAUACAAUAUUUUGCUUAAAUUAGCAAUAAUGCUUUCGUCGGACAAGGAGUGUAACACCCCCUACCUGUAUCUAUUGCCGGAAUAGGGUACGAGGCAUUACCGGAGUUUACUGAACAUUUUCAGAUAAUUCUGAGUCAUUUAUUAUUCAUAUUUUGAAAAUAAUUAUAACAUCUCUCUAUUGGGCCCUCGAAGCCCCAAACAUACAUUAGAAACCAACCGGAAUUAAAUCGGGAUCAUAGAAAAAGAUUUCGCAAAAUCUUAAAUUUUAUUUUCAUCUAAGUACUUACUAUUUCAAUGCUCCUUAUAAUUAAACAUGUUACCAUUCAAUCAAUAGCUUGGCACUUGUCUAAGCGUCAAACAACAUCAUUGUUAGUAUACUUGCACAUAUUUCAUCUAAAUUCAACAUUGAUAUACUUAUUUUCUCGACAUAUCGCACUUGAGUUUAAUAAUCGUCUCAACUUACAUAAUUUCCUUGUAUCAACAUAUCAAAGAUAAUCAUAUAUGUACAUGUCAUGAAACAUAUCAUGCUCUUACCGUUUCUUCAUAAGCAUAUAUCAUUCAUUUCAUUAUAUCAAUAUUUCAUGCUCCAUCAUUUCCAUAUAUUUUAUGUAUAUUUAUUCCGGUAAUAGUUCAUAUCAAACUUAACAUAAAUUAUAUUCCAUGUACUUAUACUUAUUUCGUUUAUCUAUCUUCAUAAUUAUUUCAUACAACUAUUUUGUACAUAUAUUUCCAUAUGACCAGUUCUUGUAAACAUUUCACACAACCAUUUCAUAUAACCAUUCGUCAUCUGAUACGUAUUACCUGAAUAUCAAUUGUUCAAUAGAUGCCAUAGCGUCUCCCAUCCACGGUCUUAUUUAUCUUUGACAUAAUGCCAUAGUGUCUUUCAACUAUGGUCUUACUCAUUUUCUGUCAUGUUGCCAUGGUAUCUUUCAACCAUGGUCUUAUUCUUUUCAUGUCACGUUGCCAUGGUAUCUUUCAACCAUGGUCUUAUUCAUUUCAUAUCACGUUGCCAUCGUAUCUUUCAACCAUGGUCUUACACAUUUCAUAUCAGGUUGCCAUGGUAUCUUUCAACCAUGGUCUUACACAUUUCAUAUCAGAGAGCACACUCCUGCGAACCUCAUCCUUAUAGUGGGAUUACCAGUCCAAGCUAAAUCCCCUGUAAUAUAAACUCAUAGAGUAUUGUCGGGAUUACCAGUCCAGCCUAAUUUCAGACCCUAAUUCGGAUUACCCGUCCGGGCUAAAUCCAUUUUACACGUAUUCUUCGGGAGGGCUAUAUCAGAAUAGGAUCACUCGUCCGGGCUAGAUCCUUUUUACUGUCAAUUCCUUUUCAGAGAUCCAUCGAAUUUUCCUUUCAUUCAACUGGGAUUUAUUUUCAAUUUAUAUCGAGUAUUAGCAAUAUUUCAUCAAUUAUCAUGAAUUGAACAUUCAAAUCAUAUUUUUAUCACAUAACCACAUUUUUCAAGUAUUUAAAAUACAAUUCAGGUUACAUAAACUUACCUCAUUACUUGUUUGUGUUUAUAAUUUCAUUAAUCCGAUAUCUUUUCUUUUCCACGAUCAAGUCUCAUAUUUGAGUUGUCCGGAUCUUUAUAAAUAAAUUUGAUCAUCAUUUUCAUUCAUUUCAUAUUCUAAUGCAUUUAAUUAAUGCUCUAGGAAAAAUUAUCAUUUUGCCCCUAAACUUUUAAUUAAUGACGAUUUCAUCCUUAAGGUCAGGAAAAUAAAAUUCUUGCAAUUUAAUCCUUAUUUCCAGCUACUAUUCUCAUACAUAUUGAUAACAAUCCAUGAAUUCUAUAAAAUAUCAAAAUUUACAAUAAUUUCAAAACUUUUCAAUUUAAUCCCUAAAACAUGUUUUCCCCUAUCUUGAAUUAAAUUAAUAAUUUCAUUCAAUUUUAUAAUUUAAAUAAUAAAAUUAAUCCAUUUCACGUAAUUUGAUCAUUUCUAAAAUUUUUACAAAAUUACCCAUAAAGUUUUACUUUUAUUCAAUUUAGUCCCUAAGCCUAAAAUAUGCAAAUUAGCCAUGCUAAAUGAAUAUUCAUAUAUGUUUUCCUCCUCCUCCACUCCAUUCCACAUCCUUAAUGUAUAUAACACACUUGUAAGUAACAUUAUCUAUAUUUUUUUAUUAUUUACUUUUAUGAAUAUUCAAGCUGUCCAUCUAUGUCAUAGUCACUAAAUUAUUCAUAUCUGGAGAUAUAGAACUCCAAAUUAAGAUCCAAUAAUUUUCCCUGAAACUAGACUAAUGUAUCUUAUUACCAUAAAAUUUUCAGAAUUUUUGGUUUAGCCAAUAAGUACACCUGUUCUGCUGUCUGAUAGUUCUGACCCUUCUUUACUAAAAAUUAAUUAUCUCCUCGUACAGAAUUCAAAUGAUGUUUUCGUUUGUUUCUAUUGAAAAUAGACUCAUUUAGGAUUCUAACCAUAUAAAUUUAAGCUCAUAAUUAUUUUUUUCCAAUUUUUUAUGAUUUUCCAAAUUCAAAACAGGGGAACCCGAAAUCAUUCUGACCUUAUCUCACAAAAUUUAUUAUAUCUCAUGAUUUACAAUUCCAUUUCUUACAUAAUUUCUUCUAUAAGAAACUAGACUUAAUAAGAUUUAAUUUCAUAUUUUAUUCAUCCUAUAAUUAGAUUUCUACAAUUUUUGAUGAUUUUUCAAAGUUAGACUACUGCUGUUGUCCAAAACUAUUUUAGUACAAGAUAUUAAUUACCAUGUUAUAACACCCUUAUUUUCUUUUUCUACACCAUUUCUCAUCACUUUCUCUUAUUUUAUCUUCACUAACAUAUCAAGAACAUAGGAUCUUAUGUAAGAAAACUCUACUAUAACAUUAUUUCCAUGCUUUGUCAAUAAUAACAAACUUAAAAACAUAUUGAAAUCUUGAUAUACUUACCUUGUUCUAUUGAUACUAAUCUUUAACUUGAUUUUCUCUUUCCUCCAGCUUCUAUUUCUUGAAUUCAACUUGAUAUUUUAACUCCCCAUGGUCUCCUUAACAUUUUUCUCUCUUGGUAGCUAUGGAAAUUCUUUUGAUUUUUGGGUGAAAAUGGUGAAUUUUUGGUAAAAGGACCAAAUUGUAAAAAAGUAAAAUUUUCUUUCUUUCUCUCUUUCUCUCACGUUAGUGCAUGAGAAAUAUGGAUGAGAAUUUCUUAUCUUUCUUUCUUUAUAUACUAAUAAAAUAAUAAUAAAAUAUAUUAUUAAAAUAUUAAUAAAAUAAUAUUUAUCUAAUUAAAAAAUUAUAAAAUAUCAAAAUGUCUCUAGCAUCAUUAUUACUUUCUAGAUUUCUCUCUCUUCAAAUUGACCAUUUUGCCCUUCAUUAUCUUUUAAAAUUCCAUCCUUGAGUCAUCAUUUAAUUUGGUAAAAUUGUAGUUUAGUCCCUCAUAGUUAUUCAUCUAUUCAAUUUGGUCCUAAUUCAUCCAUUUUCCUUAGUUUCUAGAUCAUUCCACCCUUAAAAUGUUUACACUAUUGGUCCUUCAAAUUUUUCAUAUUUACACUUUAACCCCUCAAAUUUUGAGUAUUUACUCUUGUGCAAUAAAACUUUUCUCACUUUUACAAUUUAGUCCUUUCUUGAAUUAAUAUAUUAUAAUAUACUUCCCAAUAUUGACAUAACUCAAAAUUUCUCUUUUUGUCACUUUAUUUCCUUAUUUUACUAUAUCACGGAUAAUAUUUUACUGUAAAAAUUUUCGGAAUAUUACAAGAAGGGCAAUGUGGAUUCUUUGGCUUGGAGAUAGGAUGCUAAUAGGAGAUUCACUGUGAAAUCGACCUACUUAGUGGCGUCAAAUAAUUUAAUGGAGGAGUGUAAGAAUGGUGGAAACCAGUAUAGCAUUUUAGAGGACCCUAAAGAAUUUGAAUUUUCCUAUGAUUAAUGUGCUUGGAUAAUUUGUUAAUAAAAAAUGAAAGGAAAAGAAGGCAUAUAUGACCAUCGAGGUGCGAAGUGUGCAGAAUCAAUUUAUUUUCUAAUAUAAUAUUAGAUAUAGAUGCUAUAUCUAUAAAAGAAAUUAUAUAUUUAAUUUUAUGUUCAUAUCAAAAAUAAAAAUGAUAAAAACAUAGGCCUAAACAUCAAUAUAUAAUAAAUUAUAAAACAAUUUACUACAUUUAUUAUUAGUAUUUAACAACAAUUAAGGUAAAAAGAAAUUCAUUAAUCUCUCAUAGUAAUAGCAUCGUUGAAUUCAGUGCGUCGUGAUUAUGGGCCAAAUCCAUCUAUCUUGGAUUGGAUUACCCCCCUCCCCCAACACACAUCACCAAAAUUUGUUGGAAAAAGAUAAAAUGAAAAGUGGGCAUGCAGUGCACGUGAUAUUUCCACACCUGCGACAGUCUGGCUGAAGAACGAGUUAAAAUGUUAAAUUUGCUAACGUGGCGUAUAUUUAAACUAGAUCUCACGGUUAUCAACUCACCUCGUUUUCGCUUCCUGCCAUUUUUACUACGUUUUCACGAAUCUCUAAUUUUAACUAAUUUUCCUCCAUCUUCUUCAAUGAUUAUGUAAAAGCCUGCAAAAUCUCAGUUGUCCAGUACAAUGGCUACCCUCUCCUUUUCUUCCCUCAAACCAAACACGUUAUUUUCUUCUUUUCUCUUCCCUUCUAAAAACAUAUCUUCCCGCCCAAUUAUCUAUACCCUUCCUCAUCGGAACACUCCUCCACUCACUUUCUCUGCUGCCAAACGCCCUCCCGCCGCAUCCGCAACCAAUUCAUCCUCUUCCGUUACCGUCGAAACCGUCUCUCCUGAAAAUGACGAUAACUCAACCGUUUUCGUCAUCCGUGCGCGUAACCGUACCGGUCUCCUCCAAGUUAUCACGCGCGUCUUCAAUAUCCUCGGUCUAAGCGUCGAGAAGGCCACCGUAGAUUUUGAAGAAGACUAUUUUGUCAUGACGUUCUUCGUAACUGAUUCCCGCGGCAACAAGAUCGAUGAUCAGAAGAGCUUGGAAAGUAUCAACAAGGCCUUGAUCGACGCAAUCGACGGUGACGAUGAUGCCGCCUUGUCUGUGGCUCCGUCAGAUAGAGGGGUCGUGGUUAGGAGCUCGGUUGGAUUUUGGGGAGAGGAAAGGCCAAGCUGAGAGGAUGCUUGGAUUGAUGGAUGUUUUCUUGAAGAACGACCCGAUUAGCUUACAAAAGGAUAUUUUACAUCACGUUGAGUACACGGUGGCUCGAUCGCGAUUUAGUUUCGAUGAUUUUGAAGCUUAUCAAGUAAGAUAAAGUUUCGUUGUUGGGUUGAGAAUGAAUUUUGACUUUCUUUUUAAAAAUUUGGCGGGAAUGUAUAGUAUAACUUAAGUGCGAUUGUUUAACAGGCUUUGGCGCACAGUGUAAGAGAUCGGUUGAUUGAACGUUGGCAUGAUACUCUGAUACAUUUCAAGAAGGAAGACCCAAAGCGAGUUUACUUUCUUUCGCUUGAGUUUCUUAUGGGUAUACUUCUUACCUUUAUGAGCCUUAUAAUGUUUACUCUAAUUAAAAUGAUGGAUAAGUUUAAGAGCUCUCGAGAAGUUUGGUUAUGCUUUCUAUUACUCUCCUAGCACCUAUAGUUUAUCAAAUCUAGAGGAUCAGACUUCGGUUUCUAUUACAAGUAGAACUAGUUUUUGAAUUCACAUGUUAUUCUGGAUUUUCUUCAGUGCUUUAAAUAUCAUUCAUGCUAAACAACUAUUUGCAAUUUAUAUUUUCAGGGCGUUCGUUGUCAAAUAUUGUCAUCAACCUUGGAAUUCGCGACCAAUUUGCAGAUGCUUUAAGCCAGCUUGGUUUUGAUUUUGAAGUUUUAGCUGAACAGGUUAACUUGACAUUUGAUUUUCUUCUGUACUCCUUUAUUGUCCUAAUCUUAGAUUAUUAUUACUAGCAUAUCACGAUCAGGAAAAGUAAUUGUUUGUUUGCGAGGAGAAUUGAAUACAUCAAGUAUAUUUAUUGGAGAUCAUGUUGUGUGGUAGUCGGAGAUUUGAAUCUAGGUGAAUCCAAUGGAUGGCCAUAUUCUUGGGAGCCUAGAGCCAAAAAACUGUAUGAUGUUAAGGUGUGCUCAUCCUUUCGAAACAGUCUCUCCUUGGAAUUAGAGCUCAAGGGAGAUCUCUGUUUGAACAAGUUAAAAACUGAAUUCUUAAUCAUGUUGGAAGAAAGCUUUUCUUAUAUAUAUACAUUGUACACUCAGAUAAUUAUUUACUUUCCUCUUUAUCUUAUUCAUUAUGAUAUUCUAAGGAAAUGCUUGCCUGGGUAAUGGAGGCCUUGCUCGUCUUUCAGCAUGUCAAAUGGAUUCUCUAGCAACUUUGGACUACCCUGCAGUGGGGUAUGCCUCUAUUGUAUAUUUUUCUUGUAAGAUUUGUGGAAGCAUUUCAAGUUAAAAGUAAUACAUAUAAGUCUUCCAUUAAGUAGGGGUACUGAAUCAUUAUCCAUACUGGCUUUGAAACCAAAAGGAUUAUGGGCCGUGAAGCUGACUUGCUUAUCUUCUAAUUAGUAUCAGCUUAUUUAUAAUCUAUGCUAGUUUUCCUUUUUCAAUAUCAUUUAGCGAAUUCUUGCAUCAAAAUCAUGUCAUUUAGUUCAUGCAUAACUUGUAUAUCCUCAAACGAGAAUUGGCUUUUAUGUUUAAUAAUCUAAUUCUAGGGGAUUGUUUCUGCAGCUAUGGAUUACGCUACCAGUAUGGGUUGUUCCGUCAAGUUAUAGUGGAUGGAUUUCAACAUGAACAGCCUGAUUAUUGGUUAAAUUUUGGAAACCUUUGGGACAUUGAGCGGAUUCACAUAACAUAUCCUGUAAAGGUUUGUAAGCACUUAGAUGUGUUCAAUUAUCUGUGGGAAUAUUGGAUGUUUGACUUUAUCUUUCUAUUCUUUUGCAAUUCUGUAUUGUUUACUAAACUUCUGUUCACUAUGAUUUUGGAUGGUAAAGUUCUAUGGGACAGUCACAGAUGAAUUUUUGAAUGGAGAGAAAUGUAAAGUUUGGGUUCCUGGAGAAAUGGUAAGGCUGUAAUUCUUUUCAUAAAUUGAAGCCUAGACAUUUGCAUAAAAUUCUUUACCCAUUAGUUAUACUCAUGGGCGAUGCAUGAUUUAAAUGAGUGCUAAAUUUAAGUGAAUGUGGUUGGCGUUUUUUUAGCUUAGCAAUAUCUUCAUGUUCAUAGGUUGAAGCUGUGGCAUAUGACAAUCCAAUACCUGGUUAUGGAACAAGGAAUACCAUUAAUCUUCGCCUUUGGGCUGCGAAACCAAGUGAUCAACAUGAUAUGGUAAUUUUGACAAAUCCAAUCAGUUAUGCAUGAGUUCUAUGUACACUUAGGUGGAUUAAACUAAAGUAUGAAGAUCUGGCACAUAAAACUAAUUCUUAUGAUCUAGAUUCGCUAGAAAUGCUAUAGUUGGACUGAGCUAACAAUGCUGAUUUGGUAGCUUAAAACAUAGUCAUAAAUGCAAUCAUGUGUUUUUUUUCUUUACGGAUCUCUUCUAUAUCCUACCCAGCAAGCUCUGCUUAGACAGCGAGGGAUUUGGAAAUCUUUUUGAAUAAUUUCUUUCAAUUGUUUUGGCUUAAUUGUUUUGAAACAUGCUUAAUCCAACUGAAGUGAUAUCAGUUAUUUUCUGUUUCAAUGUGCUCAUUUCUUUUAUCUUUCUCUUCUUUUUUUUUAUUUCACUAUUUGCAUUUCGGAGAAUUAUAUUUUGGCUAGAGCUUAUAUUAGUAAGGUUAGCAUCUAUCCUGUCUUGUAUAGUCUUUGAGGCAGGUAUUUGAUGUCGGUUCUAGAAAGAUUUCUUAAUUAGUAAGAAUUUUGUAUAUUUCAGAUAUUUUGUUACUUUUAUUUUUAGAGAUUGUAAUUUUCUGUAGGUGUUAUUUUGGAAAAUUCUUUAAGAUUUUGAUUUUUGGUUUUUUAUGAUAUUUAUUGCCAUACAUGCUUAUGGAUUCUUGUUAGUAUGCGACCUUGUUAUGUCUUAAAUUCUUGGGUUUGGAGCAUGGCAAUGCAGGAGUCUUUUAACACUGGGGAUUAUGUUGAUGCUGUAGUCAAUAGACAGAGGGCUGAAAGUAUUAGUAGCAUACUAUACCCCGACGAUCGUUCUUAUCAGGUGUGAUUGUUACAUCAAGAUUAUAGUCUGCCUCAUCAAUUUUUUCAUGCUUCAUCUUCUAAAGUUUUUACUGCAAUUGUUUGAUUUAUGGGAAAUUAAAGGUACUUAGUCGGAGAUUAUUAAUGUUGCAUUCACUGAAAACUUGGUUGAAAUGUUUGCUAGGGGUUGAACAAAUAUGUUUCUUUGUCUUUCUUUAGAUCUACAUUCAUAUUUCUUUUUGGUGGUUUCUUUCAGGGCAAAGAAUUGCGGUUGAAACAGCAGUAUUUCUUUGUAUCCGCAUCAGUACAAGACAUCUUCAGAAGAUUCAAAGACACUCAUAAAAAAUUUGACGAGUUUCCAGAGAAGGUUCUUAGCUGCAUGUUUCAUGUGUCUAUUAGUGCAUAAGCAUAUGUAGAGACCCCUCGAAUGGGAUUAGUUUGUACUGAUCUGAUCAUGUAGUGAGGUGACAUGGCUUGGUUCUACCUCCUGAAUCUUGUGUAACAUAGCUGUUCUCAAGGUUCUCUCAGGUUCUCAAUGUCACAUCCUUAACAAUUGAUUUGCUUUCAGAUGAUGGCAGUAGUGAGAGUUGAGUGAGGAAUCUUUCUCUUUACUGAGAAGAUUUUCGUUCCACUUUUAUUAUCAUCCCUAGGUUGAGUGCUGACUGCUGCUUGACUCGUGUUCUGUCAACUCCAAUUGCAUUUUAUAUAGGUUGCACUGCAGCUGAAUGACACUCAUCCAUCUCUUGCAAUAGCUGAGGUGAUGAGAGUGCUUCUGGAUGAAGAGCAUUUAAGCUGGCAUAGAGCAUGGGACAUCAUAUGCAAAAUAUUUUCGUUCACAACUCAUACUGUGUCACCUGAAGGACUGGAGAAAAUUCCUGUGGAUCUACUGGGCAACCUUCUCCCUCGACAUUUGCAGGUGUGUUUUGUUUGAAUUUUGCAAUGUACUUUCUGCUUUGAUAAAGUUUACCCGUUUCUUUGAAUUACUUUAUGUGAUUGAAAGCCUAAGUAAUUCUACUGGACAAGCUUCAUCUUACAAUAUUCUUUCAUUUAUAUCUGAUGUCAUAUGGUUUAAGCUUCAUCUUAAUAAUUUUCUUAACUACAGCAUCGUGCCUCCAAGGUACAGAAGCAUGCAUGUGGUUAAUUAUUAUUUUCCACGUAACUCUUUCCUGUAUUACCACACUCCUUUAGAUUGUAAUUUAUUAGUUUGAUUGGUUGUCAACUUGUUUCCUAAUAUUUUAGAAAAUUGCUCUUUUCAGAUUAUAUAUGACAUAAACUUCAACUUUGUGGAAGAGUUAAAGAAGAUGAUUGGUUUAGAUUAUGAUCGGCUGACCAGGAUGUCAAUUGUUGAGGAAGGUGCUGUGAAGGUAUAUAUCUCAAAUUUUAUGGGUUUCUAAAAUUUAUGUUGUGUUGAUGGAUUGCUAGAAUGUUAUGAAAAUUGAAGUUCAUAACCAUCCCUUUUGUCAGAAUAUUCGAAUGGCAAAUCUAUCAGUUAUUUGUUCUCAUACCGUGAAUGGUGUGUCCAGAUUACAUUCAGAGUUGUUGAGAACAAAAUUAUUCAAGGUAAAACUUAUAUUUGUUUUUUCCUGCUUAAACGUUGCCUUUCCUUGUAACAAGUUUGAAAUAGAACCCAGCUACGAUGAAUGUCUUUAAUUAGUUUAUCUUAAUUGUUGUCCAUUAAUGCUUUUCAGGACUUUUAUGACCUAUGGCCGCACAAGUUUCAAUACAAGACUAAUGGGGUGACACAGGUUUAAAAUAAGUUACAGUUUUUUCAGUACAUUAACUUACUGAUAGGUUAAGUUGUUUGCUACCUGUAAAUAAAUUUUAGGCUUGUUACUGUGAUGCUGUGAUGCAUCUUGCCCUGAUAACUAAAAGUACGCGAAUAAUUUAAAUUCACCCGCUGUGUAGUUAUUUUGAUCUCUUAAUAUUUGGUUUCUCAGCGUCGCUGGAUUGUUGUUAGCAAUCCUAGUUUAUGCGCUCUUAUCUCAAAAUGGCUUGGAACAGAAGCUUGGAUCCGUGAUAUUGACCUUUUAAUAGGCUUGAGAGAUUAUGCAACUAAUGCUGAAUUGCAUCAAGAAUGGAAGAUGGUACUUUCAUAGUUGGCAUGCUUCACCUUUGAAACAAAACAUAUCAUUGGCUAACUCAUUCAUUUAUUGUUAACUAUUAUCUCAUAGGUUAAGAAGGUCAACAAAAUAAGGCUUGCCGAGUACAUUGAAGUGAUGAGUGGUUUGAAGGUUUUGAAGAAAGCUAUAGUUUUUGCACCUACAUUUCUUUUUCCAUUUUUAAGGAGCUCUGAAAUGAUGUAAUGUUGGUGCAUUAUUUGUAACGGGCAGGUCAGCUUGGAUGCAAUGUUUGAUGUGCAGACAAAGCGAAUACAUGAAUAUAAGCGGCAGUUGCUUAAUAUACUUGGCAUUAUCCAUAGAUAUGAUUGCAUCAAGGUUAACACCAUCUUUGGCUGAAAGAGCCAUGAAAACUUGUGGAAUUUAUCAAAUGCUUCUUUUUAUAUGUGCCUUUUUGAAUUGUCCUUGUAGCAAACUAACAACAUAGGUUUAAGUUAUUACCAUCCUGUUGCUGGAUGUUUGCAAGACCAACAAUUCCUUACUCAUUGUAAUAUGAGUUGAUUAACCAUUUCCUUAACCAUCAUCUUUUUGGCUUUGCAUAAAGAUGUUUAAGUAUUAAAAAUUGUGCAUAUUUUCGAACUUUGUAAAAUAAGUUAAAAGAAUGUGUAACUCAGAGGUAUCUUUGCUCAUGCUAUUCUCAUUUGGUGCAGAAUAUGGACAAGAAUGAUAGGAAAAAAGUUGUACCACGGGUCUGCAUAAUUGGAGGAAAAGCUGCUCCAGGAUAUGAAAUUGCAAAGAAGGUUAUAAAACUCUGUCAUGCUGUGGCUGAAAAGAUCAACAAUGAUAAUGAUAUUGGAGAUCUUUUAAAGUUGGUAAGCUAGUAUUUAUUUUAUCUAGAAGUUCAAUGGAACUCUGAAGCGUGUAUUGUUUACUAAGAAGGGUGAGUAAUUUACCCUUAAAACAGAUAUAAUCAGCAACCAUGAUGAUGAAUUAAAGCUGCAAGGACCUUUAUAUUUGUCUUCUAAUAACAUAUCUGUCUUUCUAAGUCAUUAAGUACUAUUGCAGGUCUUUAUCCCUGAUUACAACGUUUCUGUUGCUGAGAUGGUAAUACCAGGGGCUGACCUUUCUCAACAUCUAAGGUAGUAUGCAUAAGUUUUGCACAUUAGAUGAUAUUAUUAAUUUCGUUAGCAGUUACAUUAUGUUUUGUAGUGAUUGCUGAUUGUGAUUUUUCUUUGUGUUUUUAUGUGGUCAACUAUUGGCUUCACUUAUAUAGAUAGAUCUAUUUGUCACUCUAAAGUUGUAUACCUCCAUUUUACCAUUUAUUUGGGUCGAAAUAUUUUGGAAUCUUUUAGUAUUAAUUGUCAUUAAGCUUACGUAUGAGCAGUUCAGAAUCACUAGGUUGAUGGAAUAAUAUAAUAUAAUAUCCAAGUGAUUAGUUGGGGCAGAAUUAGUCUCUCCACCUUCUGAGCCCCUUUUUCCAGAAUUAAAAAAAAAAAAAAUCCUCCUUCCACUCAACUUGUCUACUUCUGAUGUAUACUAUUUUUAUUUUCUGGUCCAGCACUGCAGGACAUGAGGCAUCAGGAACUGGCAGCAUGAAAUUCUUGAUGAACGGAUGUUUACUUUUAGCCACAGCAGACGGUUCUACAAUUGAAAUGGUUGAAGAAAUAGGUCAGGAUAACGUGGUAAGUGCUAAAUCAACAGUCAUACAAAUGAAUCAAGGUAAAAGUACCAUAAAGUCCUCUAUAUUAGGAGUCAGAUUGCAUUUUACCUCCUCUACUCAAGAAAUAAGCAAAUUAGUCACUAUACAUUAGAUCAAAGAGCAAACUGGUCCUUCUAUAAAAAAUUUCAUCCAUUUCUGCUUUUAAAAGUUGGUCUCUUUACGUUAACAUGAGGUACACGAGGCACGUCAUAUGUCACUGUCUAGUUAUUUCGUCAAUCAUGCCAGUUUUUAAUAAUACAAAAGAAUAAAAUUUUUAAUAGAAAGUACCAAUUUACUGUUUAAUCUAAUGUACAGGGGCUGGUAGAGCCUCCAUGGUAUUUUUAUAAUGAAUUAACAAUAUUAGUAGGAGUAGAUUUCUGAUAACAUUUCUUUCAGUUCCUGUUUGGAGCAAAAGCGCAUGAAGUUGUUGCGUUGCGCAAGAAAGGACCCACUCUUAAAGUUCCUCUUCAGUUUUCGCGUGUUGUAAGGUAUUAUACCCCUUCAUUCUACGUAAUGUAUAGCUUUAUCAGUACGUUUAUGUAUCCUUGCUUUUCUUAUACAGAGGUUGAGUUGAUUUAGAUAUUCUUGGUUUAAAUUUCAAGUGAUUUGAGUGGCAUUGUGUAACUAUUAUAUGUAGGAUGAUCCGAGACGGUCAUUUCGGGUUUGAAGACUAUUUCAAAUCUUUGUGCGACAAGAUAGAGGGCACGAGUGACUAUUUUCUUCUUGGUGCCGAUUUUAUGAGCUAUCUAGAGGCCCAGGUAAAUAGUUGGUUUUCCAUCAGUUAGAAAUAAGAAUACCUUGUAAAAGGGAAUUGCAUUUUAAUUGUGGACUGUGUUGAGAUGAACAGGCAGCGGCUGAUAAAGCGUUCGUUGAUGAAGAGAGAUGGACAAAAAUGAGUAUACUUGGUGCAGCUGGCUCUGGGAGAUUUAGCAGUGAUAGGACAAUCCAAGAGUAUGCUGAAAACACUUGGGACAUUCAACCUUGCAGAUGUCCCUUUUGAUUUGGAAAGUGAGAGCUACUCGAAAUAGAAUGAAGCUCUCGCAAUGUCAUGUGCGGGGCUUUUUUAUUUAAUAAUAAAAUAAAACGAAUUGAAUCGAAUAAAAUUACAAUGAAUAAUAACAAUGUUUCUAAAAUUAAUAAUAGAAAAUAAUCAAAGCAGAAACAAAAUUAAUAAUAGAAAAUAAUCAAAGCAUUCAAAAAUAUUUGAGUUGGAGCUUGAGAUAAAUAUUGUUGUUGAUAGGACGUUAUAAAUGUUUAUUUAAAAAAAUUCAGACGGAAACAUAUUGCAAACUUUUUUGCCCAUUUCAAACAAUUUUGAUUUUGGACGAAUUAUAAUAAUAUCUUCUCUUUUCCUUUACCAAAAAGAUAUAUCUUGUCUUUUUCGUAAAUAGAAAUAACUUUAUUCAACUGAUUUUUGUUUGGUUGUUCAUACUUCAUGAAAUAACAAUUUCCUCCUGGAUUCUACAAGCUUCGAUUACCCGCCACUAUUUCUGUUUACUUCUUCCGAGAAGAAAAAGGGAGAAAAGAUAAAAAUAAAAAUAAAAAGGGUUGUUUAGAAGAGGCAGUAAUGGCGGUUAAUAUGAUUCUCCUUCCCUCCAUUUUCAGUUUUUUCUUCUUCGUCUUCUUCUUCUUCUUCUUGUCACUCGCAUCUCAAGAUGAACAAAGUAACAACCACAAUCUCUUGAUCCUUGAAUUGCGCGACGCCAAGCUCAAGAUCUCUCGUUUGGGUAAAAUUUCUUUUUUAUUUCUUUACUGAUAAAUAUAUACCUUACUUAGAGUUUCCAAACAAACACUGAUCUUAACCUCGAUUCCUUGAUUGUUGUAAAAUAUGGAUGCAGAAUCUGUUCUUGAAGAAAGAAUUCAAGACCUUAAUGCUAAAACCCUUUCUCUUAAGGAACACCCGAAAUCCCUCGAGGACAUGGCAAACAAGAGCACUUAUCUGCAGUCUGCUCUAUCUGAUCUUAAGGUUCAAUUCUUUCCUAAGAAGCUUUGCUUUUGUUUUUAGCUUUGUUUUCAUUUGUAUGUUACUCGGGUUUAUUUGGAUUGAAUGCCUUCUCCCUAUUGUUGUCUCAAAAUGAAAAAAAAGGUGGGGGGUGCUUUUGAAAGCAGAAAAUUGAAUAUUGGUAGGGUUUAUUCACUUAGUAAUCUUGUUCCAAAAUUACAUAGCAUAUUGACAUGUAAUUUUGCAAUUUCUAAAUGUAGAUAUCAAAUUGACAUGUUAUUUUGCAAUUUCUAAAUUGUAGGAUCAUUCGUUUCUUGCUGAUGAAAAGCUUAACGCUCAAGAAGAGGAGGUUCGUUUUAAAUGCUUCUAUAAAUAUAAUCGCUCUUUCAAUUUUUUUUUCGUCCUAUUUGAUUCCUUGUCAUGUUUGUAAGGGUGAGUGGCAAGAAAUAUUUGCUUUUGUGCAAUUCAACUGACUUUAGUACCAGGCUUCAUGAUCCUAGGUACACGGCCUUUGGGCUGUUUCGAGAAAGAGCAAUUUCGAUCUUUAUGUUUUAGAGUUGAAGGUACAGGACGCUGAGGAUAGACCGGAAGCUGUUACAUAGUUGGAAAGGUUAGCAUUUACAUUCGUUAAUUUUGUUUCUGUGUAGAGACUCUGCUUGUAAAUGAUGAGAUCUUCGUCUUGUUUUUUUUUUUUUUUUUUUUUGGGGGGGGGGGGUACAAUUAUAAUAUGAGGUGAACCCUAAACCCUGGGGUGUCAACAAGAGAGCAUCAAUCACUGCUCCAAGGGGAUGUUGGUGAGGGGUUUUUCUUGUUUGUCAUACACCAUGACCAUCUAAUGCUGAAUGACUAAGUAUUUCUUCAUAUUAUAACGUUAUAUAAUCUAUAAUAAACUUUAAUGCCUCGUUUAGUUAUCUAGUGUAUUAACACAAGGAAAAGCUUACUACAUAAGUAUUAAAAUAGUUUGUCAUAACAUAUAGUGUAUAUUUAAACUUGAAAUUAGAAAGAUAAGUAGAACUCUAGUAAAAAAUAGGAACUCUAGUUAGUUUGUAACUCAUGUACUAAGACAUGAAGAAAUAAUAUUCCUACCGAACGUAGCAUAAGAGUUUCAUCAAUAACUGCAAGAAUGCUUUAAGCACCUAUUUGCUGCUGUUCCAAUUAUUGAAGUUUGUGUUGCCUCAUUUCUAGAUUUAAAUAUCCUUGUUGGGUUGGUUAUCAGGUAUUAUGGUUUAGGUACCAGUCACUGGCUCAACGCUAAGCUGUAUUUCUUUAAAUGGAAGAGAAUUAUUAUAUCCUCAUAUUCUUUCUAAGUUGUUAAUGAAAAUGACCAUAUUUUAUCAGAACUCUUUCUUGGUUAUUUGAACUUUCUUUUGAUUGUUGAUGUGUAAAAGCCUUGAAAACUUGUUUAUUGCCUUUUGAUUUUAUUAUCUCUUGAUAUAACUAAUAUUGAAAUAACUUGUAUUUUACUCACUCAAAGUUUCAUUCCCUUGCAUUUUAGAUGGCAGAAGUUGUUACAGAACAAUGGGUUCAAAUUCAACAUCUUGAGCAGUUACUUCAAAUUGCUAAAGUAUGGUCUUAGGCCCUAAUGAUAUCAGUUAUUUGUUAAACUCGGGGAAAUUUGAAAGAAAAUGACGAUAAAGGUUUUUCUCAUUAUAAUUAUCCUUUAUUUGCAUCAUUUCUUUGUGUUACAGAUGAGGGCAUUGCAAGCUCAAAAGCAAAGGAAUAUGAGAUGCACAUUCUUGAAGGUAAGAUAAUAAGUUGACAGUCUUUCAGACCUCUUCUUUUCCUCAGUCUAUGUCCCUUUAAAUUACUGGAAAUUUUAUCUUUGUAUAUCAAAGCAUCAGCAACAGUUAUAACUUUUAUAGUUCCUUUUAGUUAAGGCAAAAAUACUUUGUCAUAUGCUCGUUUUUCAUGUUAGUCAUAAGAUAAUCUAAUCUUGUAUGUGAAUAGUUCAUAGAUGGCAUUUCUGGAAGACAUCUACCGAAGCUGUUCAAGGCCUUGGAUGCUUAUUCAUUGGGAAAAGGACCUAUCAUAAGAUACUAUGUGUCUCAAGCUCUGCAACAAUUGAAAAGAUUUUACUCAGCUAUUAGAAGGUUUCACCCUGAGGUAUGUUUGAUACUGCAUGACUUUCUAGAUUCUUGUCUGAAAAAUAGUGGUGUCACUCUUGAAGGUCUUCACAUGUCAAAACUUACUUGACAUUACCUUUGUGAAAGUUUCCAUAAAAAAAAGUGGUCACGAAACAUUUGAAUUUCAGUAUUGUGCUUGCCUCUAUCAACACCUCUUCCACUUUCCUUAGCAAUUUGACCCAGAAGACUGUAAGAUAUAAUGGCUUCAAGAUUGCAGAAUCUCUUUCUUUUACUAAGUUCUGAAACUUAUUAUGGAAACUUUUGGUCUUUUCCAACCUAAAAAAUGGAAAAUCGGUGGGUUGAUCGGUCAUGUAAAUAAGACUGAGUAUUCGUGGAAUUAUAGUUCUAUCAGCCAAGAAGAGUAUAUUAUGAACCUUAAACUAUGUACCUACAUAGACUAUGUACCUUAAUUGGCCCUUUAUUGUUGCCUUGAAUGAUAUUAACCAUACUCUAACUUUUAUGACCAAGGCACUGAAAUUGCUUGUAAGAGAAGGAUAAUAAUUGUCUUGCACUUUCAACUUGAAAUUCUCUGCGUACAAUCAUCUCUGUUGGAUGUAUGCAGACAUUAAUUCUGCAAUCUUGUGCUUUACUUCAGAAUAUUAUUUAGUAACAAUUCAAUUUUCCUCCAAUGCACAGAAUUUGGCCUGCUUUACAAUUGGAGUUAAAUUUCUUCCAUCUGUCUCCUUUGUGCUCAUCAGAGGUUCCAGUUUACAAGUUAAUAUGUAUUAGUUUUAGAAAAUAUUGACCAAGUACAAAGAAGUAUAUCCCUUCCCUAGGAACCUCUGGCUUUGCAAGAAAUAAAUGUUUUCUGUUUGUUUGCAGUUGCAAGCUUUCAUCAAAGAGGAGAUGCAAAGAAAUGAACUUACUGCUGCUUUUGUCAAUGAUGAACUGGUAUUCUUUCUGGUAUGUUCUUGAGUACCAGCUGCCAUCUUCUGUACAUGAAGAUUUACUUGAAUUGCUGGUAUAAUUCUUUUUAUGGUAUUUCAGGCUUCUGCUUUCAUUACCUUCCCUGUACUGGGUGCUUGGAUGCUGCUUUUAACAUAGUUCAGCUAGGUGAAGAAAUUUUCUUUUAGGGGGUAGUGUCUUACCCUGAAAUAGUAGGUGACAUCCAAGCUGUUGUACUUUGUUUUCUCUGAUCUCUUUUACAGAUUGGUUUUUGAUAUUAAAAGGUGAAAGAAGAGUUAGACACAUGUACAGCGUACAGCGCCUGGUCAUUUUGUUGCCAAUGAGUCAAUUUUACAUGGAAGUAUUCCAGGGUCCAGAUCAAUACAGUAUGAUAUUCAUUGACCCAAAUGUUGAUUUUUGAGGCUUAUGAUAUUUGCAUAUAUUUGUAGCGUAAUCAAAAUUGGAGUCGAUCAUUGAAUUGAUUGUGUACAAAUAUACGUAGACAUUAACACAUUGGGAGCGUUUCACGUCCGUGAUAAUUUUAAUCAUUUUUCUUUAAAAAAAAUGUGGGGAUUUGAAUUUUAAUUUUUUUUCUUAAAAAGCUGGUUCCGGUAACGCCGUUGAUGAAACUAAAGAAGAGCCGUGGCAUCCAUGAGUGAAGAAUAACUAUUAAACAAAAACAAAUGAGGAAAGUGGUGAGGAGGAAUCGCAGAUUUUUGUUAAAAGAAAAAGGAAAACGUGAAUUCAUUGAUGAUUCAUCAUCUCUCUGUAGUCAGUCAUCAUGAAAUCAACGUAAAGAAAGGCAAAUGGCAGGCGAUAAGGCAAUUCCUUGAUGAAGGUAUUUCAAGCCUUGCAAAAAAACAAAAACCCUUCCUUUGUUUCUUUUUCUUUUUUUUUGUCACCUUCCGAAGUCACAAGGCUAAUCCAUAGUUGAGACUAAAAAAAGAAAAAAUGGAAGAGUCGACAUGGGAGCAAAAGCUCCAGGCUCUAACCCACAUCCUAACAAGCCCCACAACCUCACCGCCUCUCCACUCUCAACUCUUCAUCUCCACACAAAUCCCAUGUUUCCUCAACUGGGAUUUCCCUCCAAUUCUCUGCAAUAAACCCAACUCCCAUACCUUCCCAUCCCUCCACCUGAAAUGGGGAAUCUCUCUUUUCCUCAAAAGGGUCUCAAGAUUGGGUGUCCACGAAACUUCCUGGAGGUCCAAGUGCCCGUACUAUCAGCCCCCACCACUGAUUCUGGCCAAGGGAGUGGAUGAAGCACAAUGGGUCGAUACGCAAAAGCGAGAGUAUGUUAGGAAGAGGCUGAGAAGGAAACGCCUAGAAAGCCAUGUCCACCCUUUAAUUCCGAUUUUGAUUCCCGAUUUAUUAUUGUUCUCCCUGCUCUGGUUCAAUCCAUUUCCCCUUAAUGAUUCCUGACAAUUUUCCUUGUCUCAGAAUUGCGUAAUAAUAAGUACUUAACUCUUAUGUCUUAUCAGUUCUCUUGUCAACCUUGGAUCAUUUUAUUUGCUUUGGUCGAUUUCGGAUUUCUUUCUCGGUAGCACUGUUGUUUGCCUUAACAAAAUAUCUACUCUCAGAAAUUUUUCUUUCUUUUAUAGAAGAAGAAGAUGAUGAUGAUGAAAAGGGGCUUAAAUUGAGGCCCCAAGUAAAUUAAUUAGAAGCUCCAACGACAUCAUAAAGCAAAACCAGUAAUAAAGAGUUCUGAUUCACUUUGCUUAAUAUAGAAUUUACCUUUGCCAGAUAAGCCCGCCUGUAAUUUUGGUUAACGUCUAAACAUGCAUUUAUUUAUUUAUUUACAACUUACAUCAUCAAUUUUCUCCCCAUGUAUAACCGACCAAACUCCAACUGCACUACCUGAAACUAUUUAUUCGGUUUAGUUAAAUCUGGCCUCCACUUUACCACAACAUAGUGGGGCGGGCCAUCGCCUCCACUUUAUUCAAUACUUUCAGCUUCUAGAAUUAAAAACAAUACAUCAUGGUUUCUUUAUUAUGUUACUUUAAUUUUUUCCCCUUUUCGUAUAGUCUUGUUUUAUAUUAGCAAUGUUCAUAAAAGGUUGAAGUUUUGGAUUUUAAAUGUUUGAGUUUAAGUUUUACCAUCUAUAAUUGCAAUACGGGUCUCUGUCACUUAGUGUCUAUGUUGUGUGUUUUACCUAAUUGUUUUUUUUAGAUUUUAUCAUGUUUUUGUUCAAUUCUUUAUCUAUUAUGAAUUGUAUCAGUUGAAUUUUAAGUUAUAAUUUAUUGAACAUAUAUUUUUUUUUGUCUUCUAAUUGUACAGUUUUAUACCAGUGAAUUUUUUUUAAAAAAAAUCAUGUGAUUAUAGAAUAUAUGACAUAUAUUUAUGAAAUUUUUAGAAAAAAAAAAAAGAAAUGUUAAGUAUAUAUCAUUUUCAGUCACAUUAGAAUCCUGAUAAUACAUUAUUUCUACGGCUUCUACUUCACUAAACUGAUGAUCACAUUGGAUACUACCUUUUCUUUUCUUUUUAACUUAAUAGUUUUAAUGCUUUUCGAGUUUGGCAAACAUUUUUUUCAAAAAUUGGGUAGGAUUCGAUGGCCAGAUUGAUACAAUCUUUGUACGGCCGAAACGCUUCCCCACCGUUAAUCAAGCAACUAAACUUCACUUAAUCCAAGGAAAAGAAGAAAAGCAAAAAGUAAAAGCCAAAAGAAAAAUUAUUCAAUUGAUUGGUCAAACACUAACGUUGACAAUAAAGCAUUUUUCUUUUAACUCUCUACCAUUGAUUUUUUAUUCCAACCCAUCCUUACAGCUUUUUGUUAUUGUUGUUUUCUAAAACAGAACCUCAUAAUAUCAGACAUAUUGGGACUCCGAAAGUUCAACCUUCAGCGCGAAAAAAUCCUUCUUGUUUCCAUUAUGUUCAUUUUGUUAUAGAUAGAGGCAUCGGUGCUUGAAUUUUGAAUGCAUAAGCACGAACCAUAAAGUUCAAUCAAGAUAUGAGGAGAAUUUUCUUUUUCUUUUUCUUUUAUCUUUGCUUUUCUGUUUUUCCUUUGUUGAUGGCGCCAAACGUAGUCUUAAAGUAUAUUAGAUACAUCUGGUGAUCAACAUUCAAUUACAAUAAAGAGUAUAGAUAGAUACAUCAAUACUAUCCAGCCCUCUUUCAUGAUGAUGUUGCAAGUUUUGCACUCCACCCCCAUAUUAUUAUGAAGAGGAGAAAUUCCUGUUACAACAUUAAUUGAGCUUUAUUUUCUAAGAAAUGACUUCUAACAUUAAUAAAUUUGAAUCAAUUUAUAGCUAUUUCUCGUACUCUUUCGUAGUAUAGCUUUCUUUUUAAGCUAAAACAGGAGAUGAUUAUAAGACGUGAAGUUGUCUUAAGAUUAACAAGGCAGUUAGAUGCAUUUAAAUUGGUAUUUAAGGAUAUGUCUGUAUAUAACUAGAACUAAUUAAGAUUACAAUACACUGCAAAAUGAUUCCACCUUUUUUUUUUUUUUUUGGUUCUCUCUUUUAUAUGAUCAAAUACAAUGUUGAUAUGAACAAGGUUUUGCAGUUGUAGAAAAUCGUGGAGGACUUUUUUUUAAAAAAAAGAAAGAUAAAAUUCAUAAAAAAAUGUGAAGUUAAGCAUAUUUAGUGAUGGGUGGGGUAUGGGGUGGUUUGCUAACAUGGAAUGCGCAUGGCAGAUUGGCACUUUAAAGAAGGGAUGGGGCCGAGGGGGCGGGAGUUGUUAAAUCCUCGGCGUAGAAAAAGGUCAGUAAGCGUGUCCCUGGCAUUAGACAAGGAGAGGGGGUAGCGCAUGCACAGCCCAACUAUAUCUCUUUAUUUUAUGUCCCACUCCACUCCCCCUCAUCUCUGCCGCAACAUUAAAUACCUUAUGCAUCCUUACUAUUCAUAAUGGUUUUUUGUUGGGUUGAUGUUACAAAAUUAAAUUUUUUAUUAUAGAUGUAUUAAUAUUUUUAAAAAUAUAUAAGAUUUUUUUUAAGUAGGAGUUUAAUCUUUGGUGGUGAUGUUGAUUUUAGAUAUAUUCCCCACCCGCAAGUAGAUAUCAUACAUUCUAAUAUAAUUAAAAAAAAAGUAUAACUAAAAUAUUUUUUAUAUAUUUUUUAUAUUUUUUGAAUUUUUAAAUUUUAAAAAAUUAAUUAAAUGUUCAUGUGUCAUCUACAUGUAUGCAACGUUAGCGAAGUUUAAAAUAUAUUAAUUUUUUCAUUCGUGAUUUGAAAAAAAAAGGUAAGUUUAAAGGUUAAAAAAGCAUAAAUUUAAAUAAAUAGUUAAAAUAAUUUUUUUUAUAAAGUUAGAGAAUUAAAUAAAUUAUUAUUUUAUUUAAAAAUAAUUUUCAAUAAAUUACUAAUUUAGUCACAUAAUCUAAUAUAAUUUAAAAAAUAAUUAUUAACAUUUUAAUUUGUAUGAAUUCUUGUUAUGUAUGGAUUCUUGUUAUGUAUGGAUUCAAACCCGUUCGUUCCAUCAACAAAUUGAUCUGCAUGAGACUUAAGGGUUAGAAUUUUGUGUAACCCUUUUUCCUCCUAAUUUUUACUUUUAAAAAGAAAUUGCAAUACAAUUUUUUUUUAUAGAAUUCUCCUAUUUUUAUUUAUUUAUUUGCUUAGGAAGUUUUACUGACACUGCUUUUAUUUUUCCAUUAAUCAAAUUUAAGAGACAAUUCACUUUUUAUAAUUAACAAAAAAAAAAAAAAGAAAAUAAAAGAAAUUACUUUUUUCUUUUUCGUGUUCGAUACAAGAUAGAUGAAAUAUGAAAAAUAAAAUGAAAUGAAAAUAUAUUACUAGUUAUAUAUCACCUCCAUUAUGUAGGGGAAAGAAAUAAAAAUAAUAUUAAUUUAUGAUACUUCCAUAAUGUGGUUAAAAAUAAUUAUCUAGUAUUUUUUUGUAAAAAAAAAAGUUGAUAUCUAUGCUACUAAUGAGGUUUCUUAGUGAGUUUGUUACUACUAAUAAAGUUUAUUUGCAUGGUUGAGACCUUAUGCUUUUCAAAUACCCAUAUUUGAAUUUUAAAAAUUGUUGAAUUUUUAUUAUAUUUAAAAAACAAGUUAUUUAUAUAACUAGUAAUGUAUUAUUUUGACUUUUUUUUUAAUCGAGUUAAUGUUGGUUAUUUCGUUAUACCAAUUCAAUAAAAUAUUUUAUUUAUAUUAAAUUAUAGCAUACUCACGAUGUGGGUGAAGUAAAAUUAUUUAACAAAUAUAUUUUGAAAAAUUGAUAAAAAUACUAAAUGAGGUUUUGGUUAAAUAGUAAGAUAUAAUUAUUACAAAUUAUAAAUAUGUAGGUUCAAAAUCUAUCAUGUGUAUAUUUGUACUAUUAUUCUAUAUAAAUUGAUAACCUUAUAAAAGUAUCUAAUUUAGUUUAUGGUUGAUUGAUCGAUAAUACCAAAUUUAUUAAAAAUUAAUAUUAGUAAAGAUAUAUAGUACAAAACUAAACAUAAAAUUUUAUAUGUUAAGGAAAUAGCGGAAAAAAUAUCAUAUUUGUAGAACUGUUUAGCAGUGUGGGAGAAUGUGAUCAUUACAAGGAAAAAUGAAAUAUAUAUCAUUAAUAACAAACAUAAAAGAAAGCGUCUUUUGAUAAAGUUGUUAUUGGUGUAAUGUGAAGGGACCACAAUCAUCACCAUUCACCACUUGCUCCUAAUUGAGUUGAAAUCUUUUUACAACAUAGAAAACUAGAAGAUCGCCCUUUCUUGCUUCCUAUAUAUAGAUUUUGUAUCAUCGCAAUUUCACAUCACACACACAAGUAAAGCAUUAGCAACCAUAGCCAUGGCUUCCUCACCAAAACUCUUCUCUAUGUCUAUCCUCUUCCUUUUUGCCCUCUUCUCCAUGCAAAUCCAUGCUAGAGAGUACUUCAGCAAAUUCCCAAGAGUUAACAUCAAUGAGAAAGAGACAACAACCAGAGAGCAAAAGCACGAGACCUUCGUUCCCCAGACCACCCAAAAGCCAGAAGAACAAGAGCCAAGGUUCAUCCCUGAAACCCAAAAUGGUUAUGGCCUUUACGGCCACGAGUCAGGCUCAGGCUCAAGCCGGCCCAGUUUCACCACCAAAGAAACCUAUGAACCCUAUGUCACCCCUGUUAGAUUCCACCCUGAUGAGCCCUAUAACAGCAUCCCCGAAUCCUCCAACAAUAAAGACACUUACUACUACAACAAGAAUGCCUACGAGUCCACUAAGCAGCAAAACUUGGGCGAGGCCAUUUUCACCGAGAAAGGAUGGAGCACCAAGGAAAACCAGAACAACAACUACUACAACGGCAACAAUGGUUACAACAAUGGCGAGAAGCAAGGCAUGAGCGAUACUAGGUACUUGGAGAAUGGAAAGUACUACUAUGACGUCAAGAGU